CCAUUAAACCUCUUUUUCUUAAAUUACCCAGUCUCCAGUAUGUCUUUAUCAGCAGCAUGAAAAUGGACUAAUACAGUGGGGGUGCCCUGUUGUGUAGAGGAGGGAGACCUAUUUUUGUCAGAAGGGUGGGAGCAGAGGGGCUAUCACUUCUUGGGAGAACUGACACUUAAGGCCUUAGAAAAGCAGAUAGAUAUAGCUGUGUGGAAAUAGAAAAAAAAAGUCAUUGCAAGAAAGAGAAAUAACCAGAGAACUUAGCUUCACAGAGACCAUAGCAACAGCGCGGAACCUGAGCACUUCAUAGACACCUUUGGAUAGCGACGGGAAGAAUAAUGCAAUGUCUGAAGAGGAAAUAAUGGAAGUUAAAACCUGAAACAAAGUGAAAAUCAGAAUGACCUAAUAGUUACAGUGGGGCACCAGUUUUCAUUGUCUAAUCGUCGUUUGGUUUAGAGUGGAAACUUAAUACCUUUAUUUUUCCCAGCACAAAACUAAUUGCAAGAAUUAACUGGUCGUUCUCGAGGUCCUCCUUGGACGUCGGGUGCAGUGCCUGUAUUUUGGUUCAGAAUCACUGGCAGGAGGGGCUGCUGAAUCACCUCUCGGUUUCGAGGAUAAUGGGGCUGCUACAGACAGUUUCAGCAGGCUAGAGAGCACUUCAGUUCUUGUACAAUGGAAACCAAGCAGAGCAUUAGAAGGGGACAAGCUCAUUGUUCAGAGGGGACCCAGGGCGGGCUGAACAGAAGAGUGGCUUAUUCAGAGCCCUGCAGGCGUGGCCAGCUGACAGGUGUCCCCGCUGUCCCUUCUUCUUGUGUCUGUGUGUCUCUGUGUUAUGGUCUCUAUGUGUUUGAAAUGUGUUCUUUAUUUUAUUCGUUUAAUUCAUUUACUAAUCUCGCUUAUUUUGUUAAUGAAAAGAAUAAAGUCUUUUUUAUAUUUUCCCAUUUCCAAACUCCCUGUCCCUCUCCCCCAUAUUCCAUUCACCCAUCAAACUUAAAAUUAGGUUACUUUAUUAAAACAUCACCCUUGGAUGAUUUGUUGUAAUGAGUCAGUGAUUCAUAAUUAAAGACAUUCCUCACCCCUGAUCUGACCCUUCAUCUGGUCUCUGAUGGUUUCAUCCCAAAACGACAUAGGCACCUCUGCUCUUGGUAGCUUCAUGCCUUCUGCUGAAAGCUGCCACAAGCCAUGCUGAUUUUAUUUCCUCCUUCUGCCCUCUUGGCCUUGUAGGCCCUGUUGGCCUCAGAGCUCCCCACGGGGUUUUGUUCAGAGAGGAGCUACUGCCUGACCAUUUUGGCCUGCUUUUAUUUCUAGCUCUUCCUCUAAGCAGGUGUUCCCUGGGCCUACCCUCCCCACCACACCUGCAAGCAUUUCUUUGUGAUAACAUCUCUGUGUGUCCAGUCCUGGAUUAGGCUGGAGAUCCCCAGGGGAUGUCCAGGUCCCACCCUCUCAACCACUCACAGCCCGUUCUGUGGUCAGACCACGAGUCCUAGCCCUUCUUGGAAAAGGCUGCUUGGCCCACCCACUCUAAGAAGCCCAGCCACUGUCAGCACAGAUGAAACCACUGGUUUUACAAACCUUUCCAGUGACUCACUUGACACCCUUACACCCUUCUGGUCAUUCUUCCCUCUUCGUUUUCUCCAUCACUGUAGUAUUGGGCCACUAAUUAUUAUCAACUCUGUGUCCCUAGUGCAGUGGUAGAAUUAAAAUAAAUUAUCUAACAUAUUUUAUUUCCAUUCACUUCUGUUGGUUGUUGUUGUUAUUGUUGUUGUUGUUGAGAUGGAGUCUCGCUCUUGUCGCCCAGGCUGGUGUGCAGUGGUGUGAUCUUGGCUCACUGCAACCUCUGCCUCCCGGGUUCAAGUGAUUCUUCUGCCUCAGCCUUCCAAGUAGCUGAGAUUACAGGCAUCCACUACCCCCCUCAGCUAAUUUUUAUGUAUUUUUAGUAGAGAUGGGGUUUUGCUGUGUUGGCCAGGCUGGUCUCGAACUUUUGAUCUCACGUGAUCCAUCCACCUUGGCCUCUAAAAGUGCUGGGAUUACAUGCUUAAGCCACUGCGCCUGGCCAUGCAUUUACUUCUGACAACUCACACUGGACGAGCUAAUGUAAUGGAAGGACUUAAAGGCAUUUUCAGCCCGCAGAGGAGGAUUGUGUUGCCUUAGACUCCCACCUACCCACCCCCACAGCUUAAAUAGGGCUAAAGGAAAGCAGGUCUUCUGCUGUGAGAUGCAUGCUGUUCCUCCCUGUGCACCAAUGUACAUGCAAUCCGUAGAAUGUGCAUGAAGUUGACACGAUUGUUAGAUGACUUGCUUUGAGGAAUACCAGUUUCCCAUGUUCUAGGUUGGCUUCAUGUCCAAACUUACUUGGGAGUAAUUGCGUUUAUUACCCAUUCUCCACAACCCUUACCCCCUCCCAUAACUCUGCUACAAACUUUUACUGCUGAGAUGUGUGAGAUACCUCACCUUGGUUGUCUUUCAUGCCAUGAAAGGCUCAAGAGGAAGUUAUAGUGGAAGGAACACUGGAUUAUGAGUCAAGGGACCUGGGUUCUGGUCUCAGCCCUUCACUUGGUAAACUUUGUGACCUUGGACAAGCCAUGUGGCAUACCUAGAGCUUCAUUUGCAAAUUAAGGAGCAGACCUCAGCAAUGGCAAAGAUUCCCUAUCUGGUACCAGCUCUGAUCCACUCUAGCAACUUCCCCCAAAAUAGGUCAGAAUGGAUUUUGAUGCUUAGUUCUGGCUCAGUGGAGAAAGAGUGUUACCUUCAGCCAGCUGUGUCUGCUGUGGGUGCAAGGAGAGGACAGAGUGGGUGGAAGGCGCUGAAGAUCCCCAUCCCCAAACAAGAUGAUUUUCCAAGGUCCUAUGGAUCUUAGGGAGGCAAUACAAUAUAUUAUAGGUUUGGACAACCUGGAAGUGAACCCUGUGUUGGUUUCUUGGGCAGCUGGCUUAACUUCUCUUUAGGAGUCAUAACAAUGCUUGUCUCCUGGAGUCCUGGCGAGGAUUUGGUGGUUUCACAUUAGUCAAGCACAUAGGACAGUUCAUGCUAAAUUCCCAAUCAAGGUUAGCUAUUGAAAUAUUUUACAAAACUGCAACUCUUAGGAAAAUAGGGCUAAAAUCCUCCGAAUGUGGUUUCCUUGCGCUCUUCACCUUCCUGGCUCAAAGGCCUCUUGCCCAUCUGUUAGGGCAGUUCUCAGGAUGGGGCAAAGGCUGAGGAUGCCCAGAGCCUGUUGGAUGUAUACAUAAAUCUGAAAGAGAAUUCAUGCAUAUCUUUAUCUCAGACACUUUUAAUUCCUCAUAAAUAGGACUGCUUCCUUGAGAAGUUCACCCAGCUCAUAAGUACCAAGCUGUACUCGAUACUCUCAAAGUGUAUAUUCACAGCAGGUACACACAUAGCUGUGUGAAAGAGCACAGACUUUAGCAUCACAUCAAACUGGGGCUGAAUCCCUCCCUCUCUGGGCACCAGCUCUCUGACCUUGUGCCUCAGGUUUGAUUGUAAAAUGGGCCUGUGAGAUGUGUUUCUCACAACCCCAUUUUACAAUCAAACCUGAGGCCCAAGGUCUUUGUGAUCUUUGUAAUCUUGGUGAAGAUUAAAGAACUGUGAAUGUCACAGUCACUCUGGUGCCUGACACCUCACAAAUGCUCCAUAUGACGUCAGCUUUAGCCUUCAAUGUUUCAUGCCUCAGGUUUCUGACCAUUCAUUCUCAUAGGUAUAUUCCAGUUGAAAAAACUUCCAAAACCCUCCAAAGGAGCAUUUUCCCAAACACCUUCCUUUCUCAUGAUUUCCAUUUUCAGUGUCACCCUCUGAUAUGACCAGGAUGUCACUACCAGACUCUUGUGUCUGGCCACAGCCUCUGGUCUGGAGUCUUGGCACCCCUUACCUCUCUGUAAGGGCCAAUGAAUCCCAGGUUUUGUUUGGAUUUGCCCUGACCCUCGCCCACUCAUUGCUUUCCCAUUUGGUUGGAGCUUGAAGCCCCUGGGCUCUUUGGCCUCUUCUAUCUAAUCUGCUCCGCAAGCUGACUCUUUUGUCCAUUUUGCAAAGGAGGGCAUCCACCUAAUGCAUAAAUCUCCUGAUUCUCACCCUCAGGCAUACACAUUAAAAAAAAUUAGCAAUGACAGAAAAGGAAAAUAAGAAAACCUCUCUCCAUUCCCCCCAACCCCUAAGUCCUAAUUGCCUUCUGUCCUCUUUGGGCCUGCAGAGGCCCUCUGGUUUCAAGGAGGGGCCCUGUAUUCUUGGCAUCAUUUGUCUUAUUGUUCUGCACUGAGUUGUUUGUAAAGCUAUUUCUGUAACUACAGUAAUAGAGUCAGCUAGCUGCUUUUGCUUAAAAUCAGCGGUGAGUUUAAAGGGCUGCUGGUCUGCAGCUCUGAUCUCUCAAGGUUUUAUGUGGUCACUGAGAACAUGCAGAACACAGUCUUAAGUUACUUUUAAAAUACAAGGAAAUGCAAUUUAAAAAGAAGGCUUUGGUUGAUUCUGAUCUUUGCCAUCUCUUGAGAUUCCAAAUUUGCCCAAUCUCUAGUUACCCCCCUUCUUCCCCAGUGGCUAUAGCCUGGUGUGGAAUCUGGGAAAAUACCAGUCAGAUAUCCUGUAUUUUCCUGUCUGACUUUAAUUUCAGCUCUUCCCGCUACCCGUGUAUAGUAACCAUUUUAACCAAAAUCCAGUGAUGCACACUGAGAAAAUGGCAGUUUUGUGAACAGAAACAGAGGAGUCAGGAAAUUGAGGCCUUUAUUAAGAGCUUCCUCCAGGCCAGAUCCCUGCUGGGGUGUGUGUGGGCUUAAUCUCAUGUUUCAGGGUAACUGUUCAGUAGGAGGUGGAAACUGAGGCUGGACUUUGGAAGAGGGGAAUCAGGGUGGGGAGGAAGCUUAUGGGCAUAGGUUAUGGGCAUAGAUGAGCUUUGCAGGAGGGUGUAGAAUGGAAAAGAGGAAAAGGGUCCAGAGAGCUGACCCAUAUUUAAGAGCUAGGUUUACAGCAGUGAGAGAAGUAGUAGCAAACAGCAGUGGCCGUGAAGAAGCAGCGGCUCAGUCCGAAACUGGGGAAAUCACUGAAAUGAAAGGUGCAGAGUUUCACAAAGAGGGAAGGGACAGGAGCCCCCUCAUAGAAGAAUAGGAGGCCAAUUUCAGCAAAACAUUUCAGGGCUCUGGGGUUUUGUAUUAGCAUGCCUCUUUCUCGCUCCUCAAAUUAGGAUUAUUUUUAUUUUUUUAUUUUUUUUUGAGACAGAGUCUUGCGCUGUUGCCCAGGCUGGAGUGUAGUGACGUGAUCUCGGCUCACUGCAACUUCUGCCUCCCAGAUUCAAGUGAUUCUCUUGCCUCAGCCUCCUGCGUAGCUGGGACUACAGGUGUGCGCCACCAUGCCCGGCUAAUUUUUGUAUUUUUAGUAGAGACAGAGUUUUCACCAUGUUGGCCAGGCUGGUCUCAAACUCCUGAUCUCAGGUGAUCUGCCCACCUCGGCCUCCCAAACUGUUGGGAUUACAGGCGUGAGCCACCGCACCCGGCUUAAUUUUUGUUUCUAAUGUCAGUCCCCCCUGCCCACCCCAAAUAAUAUCUAUUGCUUUUAUUACCAAAAUAAUAUGUCUUUGUUACAGAAAAUAGACAAUCUAAAGAUAUAAUUACUCCUAAUUUUACCAUCCACAUGUAACACCUAUAAGUUUUUUUAAUUGAAGUGAAACUCAUAUAAAAUUAAUGAUUUUACAGUGUACAGUUCAGUAGCAUUUAAUAGUCGCAGCAUUGUGCAACCAUCACUUCUUUUUUUUUGAAACAGAGUUUCGCUCUUGUCACCCAGGCUGAAAGUGCAGUGGUGCGAUCUCGGCUCACUGCAACCUCUGCCUCCCGGGUUCAAGCAAUUCUCCUGCCUCCCAAAGUAGCUGGGAUUAGAGGCACCCACCACCACACCCAGGUAAUUUUUUUGUAUUUUUAGUAGAGACGGGGUUUCACCACGUUGGUCAGGUUGGUCUCGAACUCCUGACCUCAGGUGAUCCACCCGCCUCGGCCUCCCAAAGUGUUGGGAUUACAGGCAUGAGCCACUGCACCCAGCCUGCGUUAUUUCUUUGUACUAGCCUUAUGCAUUCGAUAUGGUUACUCCCAUUUGUAGAUGGGAAAAACAAGGUCUGAAGCAAUUGUUCUGCUCUAAGUCACAGAAACUUGGACUCACACCAGUCUUUACUUCAAAGUGGCAUAAAUAUUUCUAAACAGUUUUCUACUUUAGAUAAUUGGAUGUUCUACAGUGUUUUGCAGACUAGGGCUGAGGGAGAAUCCUGUUAUGUUUAUAAGUAAUUGACAAUAAGAGAAAAAGAUGGAAAUGAAAACUUUGUCUUCUUUCAUUUAAGUCAUUAAGGUGCUUCAUUUUCCCUCCUGGUUCCUACACGGUUCACUCUAUGAUUUUUAAAAACUCGAUAGAGAAAAAAGGAAAUCCUAAAAUUAGUCAUUCAAAGAUUAACACAAUGAGAGGAACCCAUCCAUUCUUUAAUAGAAUGAAUAUUUUAUUUUAGUCUAUGUGAAUUUUAUAUUAGUAGAUAGACAGAUAUAGAUACAAGUAAUUUUACACCAGUUAUAAUUCAUGUAUAGGAAUCUUUCGUUAUUUAAUUUUUGAGCAUUUAAAAAUGUUUUUCUAGUCUAUUAAAUUAUAUCAGUUAGAUUAUAAAAUAUAAAGAUUAAGCAACCUUGGAUCACAUUGCACUGCAGAGCCUGCUUUUAUCAAAGUGCUCAGUCUUAAAAUACAAUUGAAAAAGUCAUUCCUCUUGAAAUUCUGUUGAACUGUAAAUGGAAGUCUAGAAAUAUUUUUAUACAAUUCCCAAGAGAUUUUAAUGAAGAAGAAUAACUUUUUAGAAUAUAUUCUGAGUGAGCUGUUCACAUGACAGUUUCAGACAUGGACUUAAAAUCAUCUACCUGUAAACUGCAAGGGGUCAAGUUUGUGUUCUUGUUUGGUUCCCUUAACAACCAGAAGGUGUGGCUCAGAGUUUCUGGGGAGUGCCUGCUGCGGUGCACGUGACAGGGGAGCGGGUGUGCGUGUGCACAUGCAUGAGUGAAUGUGGCCCCUCCCCUCAGGCCUUUACCAGUGCCAAGUGUGAACUUCCAGAAUGAAUCUCUCCUGCCAUCCCUCUGCCCGUCUUUCUCCCCAGGUCCCCUGUUGGCCUUUGUGAGUCAUGACACACAGGCAUAGGGUAAAUGACCUCAGCUUUUAAGUCAGGCAUACUUGAGUCCAUUCCACACCUUGCUUCCUGAUUUUCACCUGAUUUUGGAGAAGUUUUCUAACCUUCUUUGAGCUACUAUACAAUGAAAAAAAUAUCCCUCUUGCAAGAUUACUGUGAGGGUUGAUGAUGAUCUGUGUAGCAUCCCUGGCACUUAGUAGGUGCUCCAAGAGCAGGUGCCAUUGCCACACUUCACUCCAGAGGAGGCAGCAUAACUAGGAGAGAAGUAUAUGGACCUUGGAGCUGGCCAACUUUAGGUUCAAAGGCCAGCCUCUGCCACCCACCAGCCGAGGGACCUCGAGCAACUCAUCCAAUGAGUUUGAGCCUUUCCUUUCCAGUCAGUCAAAUAGAUAGUAGUACUUACUUCAUGGGAUUUUGUGAGAAUUAAAAGAUAAUGUAUGGACAGAGACCGGCACAGUGCCUGGUGAUGAUUGAGUAUCCAGUAAAUAGAAUUAAUGAUGCUUAUGGUAGCAUUUCUACGAUGUCCUGCAAUUUCCUAAGAUGUUCAGUACCUCCACCCCCAACAGACAACAGCAAAAGCAAUAGUAACAUAGAUCCUUCUCCAGCUGAACUGAAGUGAUACCUUUAGGAAUGUUUCAGACUGUUUUCAGUCUCUCUGAAGCUCCUGAUGCAUAAGGCAAAUGCCCACGGGAUGGCUAUGGGCGGAGUGGAAUAGGAGUCCUGACUGGCUAUUCUUUCUGACCCUUCUGAGUGACUAAGAUCCUGCAGAAAUGUGACAGAAAAAGAAAGUUCCUUGGAGAUGGGCUGGAAUUGCUUGUGAUCUGUCCCUCUGAUUGUGCUAAAAUGCUUUCAGCCAGGUCCAGGUCCGUUCUGCCUUAGCACAGCAAAUCAAUCACUGUGACAUGGAGGGUUUUCCAAAAGAGAAAAGAUUUGUUCACAAAGGUACCAAGUGAGGAGGCAGGAGAACAGCUCUCAAAUCCACCUCCCUGAAGAUAAGGCUUAGGGAUAUUUAUGGGUUAGGGAAGCAGGGUGGUCUAACUUGUGGGGAAAGGUGAUUGGCAAUGGGGAAAAAAAUGAAGUAACAGGUUCAUUCUGCACAAGCAUAGUCGGGGUUCAUGGCAUCUCAAAGGAAGUAUGUUCAGUAAAUGGCAGCAUUAGCGUGAUCUGGGGGUGGAGCUUUUGGCCCUCCAAUGUCAAAAGGCCACCUCUCCGGCACUUUCGCAGGCCCAGUUGAAGGGGCAGUGGUCCUAACUGGUUUGAACUGGACAGGAGCUUGCCCUAGUUCCUGAAAAACAACUGUUGGGACCAUUACCAUGGUGACCUAUGAAUGUUAUCUGUAAAGUAGCCAGUGAAGGUCAAGUUCCAGCAUUCAGUGGCAAGGCCUCAGCUUCAUGGAAAAAGGAAAAAAGAAAUAACAAAAAGCAAGUGACCAAAAGCAAGCAGUACAGGCAGAUCCGAUCAAAUUAACCCCUUGGUUUCAAGAAUGCAAACUAGACUAAGACAUUUGCAAAGACUAGUUUCAGAGACCACAGGGAGACUGCAAGACAGCCAGCCAUACUUGCAGUGAUACGGAGCUUUACAAAGUCAUUGAAGGGAUUGUGUUGAACUUCUCCCUACCUCAUGGUCACCACAGCAUACGUUGGUUGUCCCCUCUUUCCGUAGGCUGUGAUUUCUAAUGGGGCUUGAUCAGGAUGAUCUGAUCCUGCUAAUUUGACACGUUGCAGCGAGGAGUUAGAACCACAGGUCUUGGUGUUGAUGACGUCUGCCAGUAGAGAUGCUCCCAACGUCCUAGUUGUGGAUUCAUUUCCCACAUUUUGAGGGAUUUUGUGAGGAGGUUGUGAUAAGAAACAAGAAGGCUGUGACAUGUAUAAAGGUCGAUUGUGUGUUGGUCAUUUGUGUAUUGUAUUUCUCAGGCUGUGGGAGACUUUUGUCCCUGUGUUUUGCCAUGCAUGGCCUGGAAAAGAAACAGUUAUGAAGUUUUCACUUUUCAACUUUGCAGCUGUCAUAGGUCCAAGUUGUGGUGGCUCACGUGGACAGUAUGGGUUCCAGUAGCCCUAUCAGGACAGCUUUCUCCUCCCACCCCUCCACUUCCCAUAGAUUUCAAAUGGGAGGUGCCAGCUUCUUACAGAAACUCCCUGGCCUUAGCGACUGGUGGAGGGAUGGGCACGUGGCCCAGUCCAGGCCAGAAUUCCAUCCUGGGCUUCGCAUCCUGGCUCUGGGAGCUCCACAGGGUGUGCUGGCCUCACAUGCCCUACACGUGGAAUCCGCUGGGGUACGGGAAAUGGAACCAGCACAGAGAUGCACAGACAGGGGCCACUCUCUCCUUGCCCUACCUGUGGCUGGAUUUGAUGGGCUCAUAAAUUCUCCUUUAUACUUAAGCCAGCUUGAAUUGGGUUUUUCUUAUGUACAGUCGAGAGUCAUGAUGAAUACAGUGUCUCUAAUUAACAGUGUUAGUUAAACUAAGUAUACAGCACUGGUGAUUUCUGUGUGUCAGUGUCAUUUCAGCCUCUUUGUUGUCUUAAGAGGCCCACUUAGUGGUUUGACUGUCCCUUGAGAGAAUAGAAGGUGAGCUUGGAGAGUUUUCAGAGACAGUGACUUGAUUUAAAGAAAGUAGGAUCAUAGUAGUAAUACCCCUCACAUCCACGUACCCCCCCAUUAGAGCUGCAGAGACCUGGCUUACAUGUAAUUUCAUUUACUUCUUGAGAGGUAGGUGGUAUCUUCCUGAUCUUACAGAUGAAGAAACAGAAGCUUAAAGUCGAGCAUUUGGCUAAGCCAAGCAGCAUAUAUGUAUAUGUGUUAAAUGAAUGUGUAGCUGUAUGUGUGUGUAGGUGCAUAUAUGUUUAAGUGUGAUGAGCAUGUGUGUAUAUGUGUGUAUGUAUUAUUAUGAAGGAUUUUCAGAGUCAGGAUUCAAAGCCAGGUCCCUCAAAUGCUAAAUUCAGGUCUAUAGCACAAAUGCUAUUUUAGGCACUCCCCAUUUCCUCCAAGUUCAUUGACUCACAUGUCCAACCAAUGCCAUUUAUAGUUAGAUGGCCUUAUAUAGAGAAGAACUGUGUUCACCCCCUGCCACGGCCCCCACCGCCAACACGCACGCAUACUCUGAUCAUUUUGGAAAUGGAGCACAUUUUCUCUUUUAACAUCUUAUCUUCCCCUCACUACAUUUUGGAUUCAUUGUGAACAAUUUUGAGUCUCAUUAGAGGUGUCUUAAUUUUAAAAAUUAAGUUGGGAACUAGCAAGUGAGAUUGAAGAGGCUAUAUCUUUGGUUCUGAACUGGAUUUUCAUUACUCAAUUACUCUUCAAAUUAUACUGAUUUGAGAUGUGAUUAUUAUUAUUUUUCCUAAGUAGAUUGGAUAAUGAGAGAAAUGCAAAGGCAUGCUAGACUAAUAGUGAUCUGAGUUUCUGCUACCUCACUUGUCCUCCCAUUUCACCUCCCCCAGCCAGAGCACUGCCCCGGCCCCUGCUUCCUGGUCUACCUGGUGAGCCUCUCUCCCCUAACCCAGUGAAGGUGGCUGCUUCCCUGUCUUUCCAGUGUCAACCCAGCUAUGACCACUGCAGCGCCAGGGAUCCUGGCCAACUUGCGCAUUGUAAUCACGUGAUGCAGUGCUCACCAUCCUGCAGCAGUUUCCUAUGUUAGUUCCCAGCCCUUCCAUAUAUGCCUCAUUUAAAUGUAAGAUUUAAAUUGUACCAUCUACCCCGAGAACCCGCUGUCUAGCCACCCUCAUCUCCUCAGGGUCAAACCUGCUCACAGUACCUUUAUCAGAAUUGCUCCUCAACUGCCUGAAACACAUUUCUUUCAUCUCCCUGUCCUUUUUCCUGUAGGGAAGAAGGUAAACUACCUAAAAGGGAGGUGGUGAUGUUUUCUCCCUACAUCCUGCUUCAUCACUUUUCCCCUUUGCUUUUAAAUACACACGUGUCAUGCUCAAGUGCUGUCUGUGCAUUUACUCAUGGCUCGUGCCUUUGGUAUGAGCCUCAUUACUGGGUGAGCUUUGCCAAAUGAGCUUUUGCUGUUGCUGCAAAUACAAUGGCAUCUCUUUUGUUUUAGGGCCUGGAGUGACAUUGUGAUGGAGAAGUGCACAGUUGACCAUAUCGAGCUGGUCAGGAGGGUAGAUUUAAGAGAUGCAGCAACAGCAGCCUCUCCUAUAAGCAGCAGAGUCUUCCCUGACAUCUUACUUAUGUCCCCCAGGAUCUGAGCUCAUUGGCCAUGGCAGGAACCACUAAGAUUGUUUGGUUAUUCCGUUACUUCUGUCUUCCAGCCAGACUGUAAUCUCCUUGAGGCUGUAGUUUUCUUAUCUCUAUCCCCAGCACCUUGCAGGUUACCCAGCGCACGGUAGGAAAUCUAUGAAGGUUUGUAAAAUAUAUGCAUGUAACUUACUGUUAUGGACUGAAUUGCAUCUCCACCCCCACCCCGCCCCGCCUCCGAAAUUUAUAUGUUGAAGCCUUCACCACCACCGCCCCGCAUGUGACUGAAUUUGGAGAUAGAGCCGUUAAAGAGGUAAUUAAGAUGAAAUGAGGACAUAAAGGAGGAGUUUUUAUAAGGACUGGUGGCUUUGUAAGAAGAGAUACCAGGAACGUACAUGUACUGAGGAAAGGCCACGUGAGGACACAGUGAGAAGUCGGUUACCUGCAAGCCGGGGAGACAGCCUCAGGAGAACCCAAACAUGCCACCUCUUUGCUCUUUGAUCUCGGACUUCUAGCCUCCAGAACUGUGAGAACAUCAAUUUUUGUUCUUUAAACCACCCAGUCUGUAGUAUUUUGUUCUGGCAGCCUGAACUAAUAUAUUUACCAACUGUCCUAGCUUCUUGUAUCCCAAAGCUGGGACUGUAGGGGUCAACUUUGGCUGCUAAGGGCAGUUUGAGAAGAUCCCAAGGUUGGCUGCUUAAGAUGAAUCCACAGUAAUGGGCAGCUGUGUCCCACCCCGCACUCCUCCUUCACCACCAGUGAGGCAAGUCUGGCUAAGGCUGUUUCAGGCAUUCCCACCCUACCAGGGAACAUGAAUGUCAUCAUCAACUAAGAUUCUGAGCCUCUUGGAAAUUAUUUUAACUUGACCUACAUCACCGUAUACCCCGAGACCUUGGCAUUUCUGUAUACCCAUGAAUAAUAGCAAUUAGCAUGAAAAGAAAGCUGAAAGUCUCAAAUAGGAAGCUCUGCAGUCUGGCCUUAGACCUUCCACUUACUAGCUAUGUAUACUUGCAUGUGUAAUUUUACCUUUUUGGGGGUCUAUGAUUUGUUUUUAAAAGUGGCCAUGCUGCUAUAAUGGACAGUUCCUUUUCCCUCUUUUGGGAAUUAACCCUGGCUUGCAGCUGGAGAGCCCUCCAUCCCCUCAAGUCCAUUCAUCUGUGUGCUUCCAAGUGAUGUCUCUACCACUAGUUUAAGUCGCUCUCAUUCCCCUGGCUACACUGGUGCUUCUGGGUGGUCAUGUGAUAGAGGCUGGUCUGAUUACAGUGAUUCUCAGACCUUUUCCAAUGAACACUGGGGAAAUGCUAGAUUCAAAGCUGCUGUUUGUAGCCCCAGGGGCUGCCGGCAGCCACCUGUGAACAGAGGAGAGCCUGUCCAAGCCUGUUUUCACCAGCAGCGUUGCUGAGUUGGGGGACAGAGAAUAGGACUUGGUAAAUGCCAUUUGAAAGGCAUCACUAUUCCUGGUUUCCCCAGUCACAGGCGAUAAAGUCUCUUCAAUUCGGUUUUUAAAAAUCGCUAAAGGUGGAAAGAUUCCUAGCUGAUAAAGCUAUUAACACCUGCCCUGUCCACCACACAGGAGCUUUCAUAGUACAAUUUCUAAAUAAGAUGAUGAAGACAAAAACUGCAUGUGACAUGCAGUUUGAACACAGGGAAUUAUUAUUUGGAAAAUCCAGUGACUGGUGCCUAUUGAACUCAAUAUCAUGCUCUUUGAACAUCUGUGAAAAGAUGUGUACAUUCUUAGCACAGUGUCACCUUGUAAGGAAUGAAUACAUGGAAGCUGUUGUUAUCAUCAGUAAGAAUUAUUGCAGCAGUGAUAGAAGGGGGAUGUAGAAGUCUUUGAGAAUUUUGAUUUGAUGAAGAAGAUAGCUGCAUGGAAUCCUACUUGAGAAGGAAUUGAUUCUGUUUCUGUUGGGGUUAGGUGAUACCAACAUCUUCCUGAUGUGGAUGGCACUUGUUUGUGGAAAUUGAGUAGCAUCCUCAUAGCCAAGUUCCUGACAGUGGAAACUCAUGGGGAGCCCUUUCCUUGUGAGCCCACCCUGAGGGUGUUCCUGCUUUUCUUGGGCCUGAUUCUCAUCUGAUCACCUUGGCUGGAUGUUGCCUCAGCCAAGGACAGUAUACAAAGACAGGCCAAGGUUCUGGUUAUCCUUGUGAUGUGAUAUAGUUUGGCUGUGUCCUCACCGAAAUCUCAUCUUGAACUGUAGCUCCCAUAAUUCCCAUGUGCUGUGGGAAGGGACCCUGUGGGAAAUAAUUGAAUCAUGGGGGUGGUUUCCCCAUACUGUUCUCUCAUGGUAGUGAAUAAAUCUCAUGAGAUCUGAUGGUUUUAUAAGGGUUUUCCCGUUUUGCUUGGCUCUCUGAUUUCUCUCUUGUCUGCUGCCAUGUAAGAUGUGUCUUUUGCUUUCUGCCAUGAUUGUGAGGCCUCCUGAGCCAUGUGGAACUGUGAGCCCAUUAAACCUUUUUCUUUACAAAUUACCCAGUCUCAGGUAUGUCUUUAUCAGCAGCAUGAAAAUGGACUAAUACAGGGUGCAAGGUAAUGAUUAGGGAGGGCAAAAAGGGGGCUCCUGAGGUGCCAAGAGCCCCCUGUUAGUUCAUUUGGUGCUGAUUACGUGGUAAAUUCUUUUUUUUUUUUUUUUUUUUGAGAUGGAGUCUCACUCUUGUUGCCCAGGCUGGAAUGCAAUGGUGUGAUCUCGGCUCACUGCAACCUCUGCAUCCCAGGUUCAAGCGAGAUUCUCCUGCCUCAGCCUCCCAAGUAGCUGGGACUACAGGUGCCCGCCACCAUGCCAGCUGAUUUUUGUAUUUUUUAGUAGAGACAGGGUUUCACCAUGUUGGUCAGGCUGGUCUCAAACUCCUGACUUCAGGUGAUCCCCCUGCCUCGGCCUCCCAAAGUGCUGGGAUUACAGGCAUGAGGCACCACCCUGGCAAUUACAUGGUAAAUUGGGAAAAUUCACUGAGCUGUACACAUACAAGGACUUUGCUGGACAUACGUUAUUCCGAUAGAAAGUUUCAAAAAUGAUUGGGCAGCUGCAAUUUCAUUACACCUAUUUGAUUUCAGAUUUUUAUUAUGUACAUGUAGUGAACCUCAGAAUUCUUACAUGAUUAAAAAAUAGGAUUGUCAUAGAUUUUAUCAAAUCAAUGUGGUAAUUUAGAGCUGAACGAAACACAAAGUAACAAGAAUUUUUAUCACAAUUCAAGCAUAUUUUAUAAAGUCUCUCCAAACCUGCUUGUUAUCGAUGUUGUUAAUACAAUAUUUAGAUUCCAUUUUGAACAUUCCAGCUGGCAAAGAUUACAGAAAUGUCAGUCUCUCCCAAGAAUGGGUUGGUUUUUUGUUUUCUUUAAAAAUUCAUUGCCAGAGAGUUAGGUUCACAAAUGUGAGUUAAGAUGAACUUAAGUGACUAUAAGUAAAAUUAGGAAAAUGAAAACCCUUCAGCAAAAACUUGAGAAGGCCUUUGCCAAAACACACUGGCAAAUUAUAUAAGCUUUAAAAUUUUAUGUAGACAAAAGUGGUUUCUCUUUCCACCAUAGUAUCUUGAUGGUUAAGUAUGUCGGUGAAGUAAUUGUUUUAUAAACUAUUGUUUAAACCUUGAAACUUCAUAGCAAGCGUUUUUCUAGGCAGAAAACACUGCUUGAAAACUUUGGAGAUUUAAAAACAAGCAGGCCAAUUUCACUGCGAUUUGUAAUUUCCAGUGGAAUAUGGAAUAGCCAAGAUCUUUUUAAUCGGGAAACGUAUAUAAUUAUACCAAUACCUUAGAGGUUCACUUUGAAAAGAAUCCUCUUUCUCUGCAGAAUUUGUUGAAAUGAUUAAGGUUGCCUGUCCGAUCAGUGAACCAUUUGUUAUCUCCAAUUAAACUGAAAGUCUCCAUACAUCAGCCCUUUGUAAAUACUAAGUGGUUAAUGCUGCCUCUUAGGUUUCCAAAUGUCUUAAGAAUGUGUUGUAAUAAAAAAAAAAUUAGCAUCAUUUUAAUAUUAAUACUCCGACAUAGAUUUUAUCUUGAGAGUGUUUCUGAACCGAAGACUCUGUUAGCCCCAUAUUCAGGGGCACAGGGAAUCUCAGAUAUGUCUGUAUUUGUUUUCCCGAAAGAGUUAAGACAAUAUUUUCUUUUUUUAGUUAAGGUUAGGUACCCACAUGUCCUGAUUUUGACUAGUUUAAUUCUUGAAUUCUUCCUCUUUAGCAUAUUUUCCCUGUUCUAGUUCAUCAUUUCCUCUCUCCGACGUCUAAGCUCCUUGCUUACUGUUUUCUUGGAACAAGGUAGUUUAAAUAGUAUUUCCUAUGUGUCUGGGAUCAUUAUUUUUGUGAUAGCAGCAAAGUGCCACAGAUCACACUGACCUCCAGUUUGUAUAUUUGUGUGUGUGCAGGGACUAAGUUAAAUCAUAGCAUUUCAGAACUAGGAGGUUUCUUAGAUACCUAGCUGGCCCCAUCCUCAAUGAAUAGACAAGUAAACUGGGCCCAGAGUCAGGGCUUGCCCUGAGUCACAGGCAAACUGGUGGAUUAACCUGCCCCUUCUCAGGUCAGUCCAGCUCUCUUUUCCAGCCAUCAGACUGGAGUAAACUCUCCUUCUCUUCUCCUUCUCCUCCUUUUUUUUUUUUUUUUUUUUUUUUUUUUUUUUUGAGACAGGGUCUCACUCUGUCACCCAGGCUGGAGUGCAGUGCACGAUCUAGGCUCACUGUAACCUCUGCCUCCUGGGUUCGAGUAAUUCUCUUGCCUCAGCCUCCCGAGUAGCUGGGACUACAGGUGCCCACCACCACACCUGGCUAAUUUUGUUUUGUUUUGUUUUGUUUUGUUUUUUAAGACGGAGUCUCGCUCUGUCACCCAGGCUGGAGUGCAGUGAUGCGAUCUCGGCUCACUGCAAGCUCCACCUCCCAGGUUCAUGCCAUUCUCCUGCCUCAGCCUCCCGACUAGCUGGGACUACAGGCGCCUGCCACCAUGCCCAGCUAAUUUUUGUAUUUUUAGUAGAGACGGGGUUUCAUCGUGUUAGCCAGGAUGGUCUCGAUCUCCUGACCUCGUAAUCAGCCCACCUUAGCCUCCCAAAAUGCUGGCAUUACAGGCGUGAGCCACCAUGCCCAGCCUAAUUUUUGUAUUUUUAGUACAGACAGGGUUUCACCCUGGUGGCUAGUCUGGUCUUGAACUCCUGACUUCAGGCGAUCUACCCACCUCAGCCUCCCAAAGUGCUGGGAUUACAGGCGUGAACGACCACUGCCGGCCCUCUUUCUCUUCUUAAUAUAUUCAGAAAUAUGGAAAGGUAGAAAAGAAACCCAAACUGCAGUAUAUAUGGUAAUGAAAGCAGGAAUGUACAGCUGAAACUUCUUUCUCAUCAUACUGGGCCCAGCCCCGGCCUUGAGUCCCAGCAUUUCUACUUGCUAGCAGCAUGUAUGUCUUUCUGGGUCUCAGUGUCUCUAUCUAUGAGUUGGGAAGUCAGACCCACAAUGAUAGAUCUCAGGGAAGACUUCAGUGGUGUUGCUCCCAUGCUUGCCAUACAGGAAAGCACUCCACACCUCGAAGCUACCACUGAACCAUUUGGUGGAUCUCUCUCGGACAUUGCAGGCCCCAGCCAGGCCUACCUGGACUUGGCCCCAACCCACUGCUAUAUGCAUAGUCCAGAGUUUGACUGAGGAUGACCCCAGCCCCAGGGUCAGCCCAACCCAAGGCUCAACCCGUGGUUCAGGAUCGUGCACACACAUGCACACACACAAACACAGGUAGAAGACUGAGCAAUUUACAUAUGCUAAAAUGUAAAUUGGGAUUAUUUUGAGCUGUGGAAUUGUAUGGAUAGUUUUUAAUGAAUUUUAUACUUGCCAUGAUAAAAAUAUAUUGGUUACACAACUAAAAUACAUAAAAGAACAAAACUAAAUGUUACAGCUGCUCAUUUAUGUCAUUAGGGUAAUGUUAAAGGUUAGUUAAGAUCUUUAAAAAUCUGAGCAGUGCUUGCAAACAUACAAAUGGCAGAGUGAUUCCGACACUUGGGCUGCUUAAAUAUUAGGGGGUAGGGAAGCUUUCAGUUGGGCCCCUCUUUGAGCCUAGUUGCCUGUGCCGGAGCAUUCUAAUCUUUAAAUAAAUACAAUCCAUAUCCUUAAGCUGUUACGCGAAAGAAAUAACAACUAAUAGCAAGUCGGCCAUGAGGCCCAUUGCCGUACACAUGACCCUGGGGACAAAGUGGGCUGCACCCAGGCUGUGCCAGCCUUUGGCUGGUCCCCUCCCACCUGAUACAGAUGAGCUGGGUUAGUGCUAGGAAGAGAGGGCCCCUCUUCUCUUGCUGAUUGCCAGGAGCACAGGGGUGCCAGCCCAGAGCUCUGGUGCAGGCUGCCGCAGUGGUCAGGCUCUCCCAGAGACCUGGCCUCAUCAGGAGUGAUCCCAGCUUUGUGCCCGGGAGAGCAGAUCCCCGUACAGAAAAGGGAAAGCAAUUCAGUGGCAGAUUAUGAACUUACUGAUCACAUUUGGGAACAGGUAGUAUUUGGGGAGUUAGUUCAGAUUAAAACUGUGGAGGAGCAGUUAUGUAAGCAUCUAGUGUGCAGGGUGAGGACCAGUGAGCUAUUUGGAGUUCUCAGGAUUAUAAAAAUCAUUACGUGUUGUUUAACAACUGGGGAAUACUUUUCAGGUGUUCUAAAUGAUCCAUUCACACUGCCCAACACGAGGCUGCAGACUUCCACUAUCUGCUGUUACUUGUAGAGAAUCCCAUAGACUGACCUGAUCUGUUCCAUAAGGACCAGCAUUUUAGAAGUUCUGUCUGUGGAUAUUCUGGUUGAGAGUAGAUUCAGAACUGAAUGUCAGGAUUCCAGAGGUUGAAUGUGUGUAGUUGUUUUUAUUUCACUUAAGUCUUUUCAUAAUCUUAAAACAUAUUUAAUAUGCAGUUCAGAUAGGCUUCCAGAUGUUCUGUGACAAACAAAGCUGGAAGGAAGGUUUCUGUCGGGGGAGUUGACCCCAAAGCCUGUAAGUUUCUGCCGAGCCCUGGUCUGUACCUUGGUGCUCACUACCAUCUGCUUUAGAGCUGCUCUGCUGUGAGAGGCUGCAUGUCAAUGACUAUAUUUAAUUAAUUUGUCUAACGUAUCCCACCUAGUUCCAAAAAGAAUUUGCAAUGGCCUACAAAAGUGCUGUAUACCUAGAGGUUUUAUUUUUUAUUUUAUUUUAUUUUAUUUUUUAAAGGAAGUACAGAAAUUAUAACAAAGGGAAAAUAAAGGUAAGAAACCCAAGAUAAAGUUAGGGGAUAACAUUAAUAUACAAAAUUAAUAUUGUAAGUUCUAGGUAUUGGUUUAGGAGUGGGAUCAGUCAUGAAUUUGGCUCUGAGCUUCCUAGUGACCAGAGCAAAGAGGGAAACAUCAUCAUUUGAAUGGUUUAAAUGUUCAGAAGAUUAAAACUGACUCAUUACCCAAGAGAAACACAGAGGUCUGUAAUACUAAAACCUGAGAGAUGUUUGUCCUUUAGAUUCUCAUAGAGAGAGAUCAUCAGUCAUACAGCAAGACACAUCCUUAAUAAUAUGCCUGGUUUCAAAGGCAGUUUCCUGUAACAUCUCUCUAGGCAAAGCAAUGCAACAGACAUGUAGAAGUCAAUUAUUCAGUGAUAGUUCCAGGGACAUUGCCUUCUUGUCUCUGAGUGACUGGGUCUGAGGUCCAGCCCAGAAUCUGUAGUCUUCAAAGCCACCAGGUGAUUCUGUUGUAUAGACAGGCUUGAUGCUCUCUGUUUUAGGCAGUGAGAAACAGCUAACUAAGCUAGGCACGUGGCCAGAGCUGGAAACACAGAGUUGGUGAGUUGUUCGUGAUCAGGGGAUAACCGAGCAUGUGAGAGGUGAAGCUCACGAGGAAGUGAGCCUAGUAAGGAAAGAGGGUGUGGACGAAUGAGCCUGAUAGGACCCCAAAACAGGAAGAGACCUGGGCACAUUCCCGAGGGAGAACCUUCAUACUCGUUUUAACCCAUUUCACAAAUGUGGUUUAGAAGAAGCUACAUAGAUGGGAAAGGUAUAGUGUCAUGUGAAGAAGACAUUUGAAGGUAAAGCACAUUGAAUAUAUCUUUAAUUGGGACCACUGUAACUGUUAGUUACAUUUAUCUUCUGAAAAAAGCUGCUUACACUUUAGAAAAUAAGAUGUAGGUGUUUUCUGGGACUUCAGUGGUCCAGGUAGUAUCACAAUGACUACUGUUUAUUAACCUGGCCUGUUGUGUUCCAGGCAUGGAGCUUGGCACAUACCUGUAUGCCUUCACUUGAGCCUCACCAGAGAUCUGUGGAGGAAAGGUGGCAUCAUCAUCACCGUCAUCAUCGUCAUCUCCCUAUCAGUGACAGGGAUUUACUCAGAUUUGCCCAUUCCAAGAGAAUUCAUAAACUUGGCACUCCAUUUGUGGUUGUGAAGCUUUCUUUCCCCUUUCCUCUCCUCCUCCCUUCCAGGGGGUUGAAAUAAUAUAGAACAUGAAAUUAGAACUGUUUUCCAUUGUCAGUAAACUAAGGGAGGUGGGAGGCUGAGGGUCACCUGGCUCAGCCUCCUCCUCACCCCCCAUAGAAAAGCCAGGCAAACACCACUGCUCCAGGGUGUUGCUGCCUCUUAGAGCACUGGCCCACCAUGAUUUUGUGAUGCAUUUGUCAUGGCUCUAGUGUGUGUGCGUGUGUGUGUGUGUGCACUCAAGGUUGGUUGGUCAUUCCCAGUUUCAUUCUUUAUGAUGUCUCCAUGAAGGCUCUACUCUGCUGUUAGGAUACCAUCCUCAAGCCUUGGUACAAAUGCCCACAUCAUUGUCUUCUCAGCAGCAUAUUCUGAGGAAACGUCACUCCUUAGAGAGUGCUCACAGGCACCCAUGCCACUCGCUUUGCAUCGCUCUGAGGUUAAAAUAAAAAUCCACGGGACAUCGAGGACCAAGCCAGUCUCACACCAAGACCUUAAAUGGACAUUAGCUGAAGUCUUUGAAACUUUCAUUUUUUUGUUUUUUAGAGAUAGGAUCUCACUCUGUCACCCAUGCUGGAGUACAAUGGUGUGACCAUAGCUCACUGUAGCCUUGACCUCCUGUGCUCAAAUGAUCCUCCUGCCUCAGCCUCCCAAGGAGCUAGGACUAUAGGUGUGUGCCACUAUACCCAACUAAACAUAAUCCAGACUUUUUAUGGUGAAAAUUCACCUGGUGGGGAAGCCCAGAGAGGAUUUUGAGAGAUUUCCUAAUCUAGUCUCUUCCCACAGGAUCGGAUUAUACACGAAUUGGUACUUACAGGUGGUGAUUAGUUCUGUUCUUAGAAGAUUUCUCUAGAGGGUAAUUCAGCUACUUUCUUCCGUAGUAUGUUUCAGCCCAACUUCGUGGAAGGAACUUCUUCCCACUCUCUAAUUUGAACCUCUCUUUUUAUGGUUUGAAUACAAUUUCCUUUACUUCUGUCCUCUAUGACAAGGAAAAUAAACAACCAAAUGGGUCCAUUCCCUGCAUCUUAUUGUAACACCUUGAAAAUGUCGCCUUGCCCACAAACACCAUGGGCCUCAUGGAAGGUGGUGGGACUCAGCCCCUCACGGUGGAAUGGAAAUAGGUCCAUGUGUCCAUGUGAGUUGUUGAUGGUGGUGGAUGGAGCCACCUCCUCCUGCCCUAGCCCUGGGGGACUCUCACUGCAACCUGCAGGAUAGGUGGUUAAGGAGGGGUUUGUUUUCCAGCUAAACAAUGGAAUAUUUCUCUGCUCAAAAAUAACCGGUUUAUUUCCUACCAGCUGACCUGCGAUUCACACGAAAAUAAUAUCUUGAGGGGUCUAAACUAUACUGCUUUUUAUAGCUUCUUCUGAUUCUUUGAAAAGUAGACUUGCAGAGGUCUCACCUGCUCAGGCUCCUUUUGGCAGAAUAUCAAACCGUGGUCUCAUAGCCAGAUUUUCCCUGAAUAAUGAAUGAGCCAGUGUCGAGCAAGUCAGAAAUAGAAAUCAAUAAAGCUAAAUUUCAUCAAGAAGAGGCAGCUUUGCAGUGGAAUGAUAGAGAACAUUGAGGCCAAUGGAUGCCAAACUCAAUAAUGCACAUCCUUAAACUCUCACGGAUUAGGGAAAGCAGAAAAGAAAACCAGUGUCUUGGGAAGAGUCAGAAGGGAUCAGAGCUUGAGAACACACCUUGCUCAGUGGGAAGAGGAAGGAUGGGCAAAGCAUCAGAGGCUCAGCUUCUUACGGCCGGGACAGCAAUAGCGUGAUGCACAAACCUCCCGGGAGCCAGCGUUAAACAUCUUCAUAAAUCAUAUGUUUGCAGCUGUGUGACCAAAAUAGACGUCCACCCAGCCUGUUUGUCCUGGCCUUGUGGAACGUGGCGUGACCGUAGGUCCUCAAAGACAUCUGUGAUUCCUGCCCCUGCUUCCCUCAGUGCCGUUCAUCAAUCAUCUGUCCAAGCCUAACUCUCCCCUCUGAUCGCCAGUGACAUGGUCCUACUGACUGAUUGAUUGAUUGAUGAUUGACUGAUUGAUUGAUUUUCAUAUGAGAUAGAUUGAAGCAUAUUGUGUGGAGAGCCUUUUUUAUGCCAAUUAUUCCAUGAAAAACUUGAUUUUCCCCUUGAAAAUGACAACAGGUGUCCUUGAGGGGACAGGGCAGUGUGAGGAGGGUGGCAGGCAGGGAAGAGUGGUGCCAGCACACUCAUUCUGCCCCACUGGCACCAGGCAACCAUGAGUUCUUUUAUUAGGGCAUGUCAGAUGUGCCUCUGGGGCUGGUGUCAGACCCACCUCCACCCUGCCCUCUAGACUUACUGUGAGCCUCUGGCACUCAUGGGGAGGUGUCUUGUUCCUUGGGUGCCUUGGUACAUUUAAAAAAAAAAAGUGUGAGAGCCACUGGAGGCUGGUUGUAGAAGGGUAAUGAGAGGGGUCUCUGUGCAGAGUGGCACUCCUGCUUCUUACUCCUAUGAAGACCUUUUUUCUUGAGGACAGUCAUGAAUGGUGUGCCCAGUGGUUUCUCCUGGAAGGUCACAGUUUGCUGACCCCAGGCCUUGUUAGUGGUUUAGUUGGAAUCCUGCUUGGAAUGUUUUGCAUGCUGCUUUGAAAAGAGCACUGGGCCAGGAGCAAGGGCUUUGGGUUUAACCUUUGCACCUUUUGUACCCUCCUUCAUAGCCAGACAUGUGCAAUUUAUAGUCAACUCCCUGGGCCUCAGAUCCUCACCAGGACAAGAGUGUUGGAUGGGACCGUUUCUUAAGAUCCCAUCUAGCCUCUGGCAUUCUGGGUGUGAGGGAGAAGACUUUUGUCUUAGGACUUUUUGUUCUUAAUUGUUCUCGCCAUUCCUAGAGCCUAGUACUGUUGCGUCUGACACUGAGAGAACCAAUGCUUGUUGAAUGAAUGAGUGAAUGAAUGAACACAGACCAACAGUAAUUCAUCUUCAUAGGCAGCCGGUGCCUGAUUUAAAUACAGAGAGCCAGUUUCCUUGUGUUUGACUCAAGUCUACACAGUUGGAGAUCUGGGCAUCAUUUGAAAUGCUGCAUUUGUGAAAAUGAGACCGGAAAGUGGCAACGUGGGCUCAUGGCUGGUGUUGAAAGAAGUGUUAAUGUGUGAAUUUCUUCUAAGAGACAUUUCACAAUGCACUGUGUCCUUAGCGUUCUCGGCCUUCAUCAGAAGAAGGAGUCACUGAUGCUGAGGCCUGUGCUCCCUGUGUUCAGAGAGAGUUUUAUAGAGUAGCCCCUGGCCUCUGGGAACUUAGCCUCUAAGAAUUUGCACUGCCCCCAAAUGUGCCGCAUACAGGAAAUCCCCAUGGGGGGAAUAAAAAAAGCUCUGAAUCCAUACACAAGUGUCAUUAAAGCACUUAGCUUUCCUGCAGAUCUCUGCUAAGUGCUGCUAAGUGCAUCGUUAGUGGGGGAGUGGACAACAGAAGGCCCAUGCCUGGGCCGCAGUGGCAAAGGUGUGGUCAGAGAAGGUGGCCUUGAGCGCUCUGGGUCUCAAAAGGUGAGUAGGACAAGUGUCUCUUCUCAGGCCCCCUAGGAAGGCCUCAUGGAGGAGACGAGUGUUCAGAGGCAGAACUUGGAGGUGAUCCCGCCCCACCAGGCAGAGGACACAGAUUGAUGGCCCUGGGAGCAGAGCCAGCACACUGGUACACAGAUGGGUUUUUUUAUUGUUGGACAGAGUGAUUUUGAAAAUUUGAAUUCAUUGCCACUACUUAAAAAUCAGGAAAUUUUACAUAAAUAUCUGGAUUUCUAGCUUCCCUUGACAUCUGGGAGAUGGAGCAGCCCUGGGCAUGCCUUGCCACAGGGCAGCAACUGGCUGGACCUGAGCAGCCACACUCCGAGCUGUCUGUCUAGCCGUGCAGUUCUGACCACUCGCUCCUUUCCCUGCACCACCCCUUCUCCCCACCCCCCUUACAGACACUCAGCCAUUUGAACUGAGUCUCUGGUUAGGGAACAAGCUUGCUGACUUCUGUUGGGGAAAACGUUCCAGGCUCAGGCAAUUCAGGCAGCCUUGCAGAAGGCAGGAUAGCAUGGCGAUGAUGGUGGUGAUGAUGCAGCUAAAACAUGAAACGUUCUACUACGUACAGAGCCUCUUCUGAGCACUCUCCUUGCUUUAACUCAUUCGUCCCAGAGAAACGUGUGAGGAAGGGGCCGUCAUGAUCCUGCUUUACAGAUAGGGAGACUGAAGUGUAAGUUUUGUAGGGGCAAGUACCUUCUCCAUGUCGUGUUGUUAGUAUGUGACAUAGCUGGGGUUUCCAUCCAGGCAGGCCGCUCCAAGACUGGUGCUCUUGACCGGGGAUUAAAAAAAUAACAGUUACAGGGUGCAGAAUACAGGCCAGGGAUGGUGCUGGGUGGUUUGAUGGGCCAUGGCCAUAGAUCCCAGCAACAGCCAUUGGGACAGGUACCAUGUGCCAAUGAGGAAACAAAGGCUUGAAAAGAUGAGUGAUCUGCUCAGGCACACAGCUGGAGUCCAGAAUCCAUCAGGGCAGCAGAAUUGGGAAGUCCUGGGGGAUUUCAGGAAAGAGAUUGGGGUCUUGAAAAACACAGUGAUGGCUAGUGGGAAGGGUACAGAUUGACUAAAGAGGGAGGAGGAGGAGGCCAAAGAUUUAUUAGAAGGCCCUAGACAGAUAUGUCUGUACAUUCGGUUUUUUUAAAACAGGAUUGAAUUUUGCUUCUCUUCUUUUAAUUUGGCGUCUGUUUUCUUGGUGCUGUAGCCCAAAGAAAGGAGCCCCCACCAGCCAAACUUUUCCCUUAAGAAAUGACUCCGGGAGUGAAAUAAGACCUGAUCUUUUCUGUGCUCACAACUGAGGUUUCUUCAGUCCAGCCUAUUUGUUGAGAAAGAGCCGUUUGAUCUCCCAUGUGGGCAGCAUCAGGGCAAACAGGAUGGAUCAAGCCUCACAGAGUGGUGAAACCUGGAACCAAAUCUCCACCUUGAGGCCAUGCAAAGACAUGUUGGCCCUGGGCAGCUCUCCCUGGGGAGCUCUUGAAUUCACUCUUCCAGAACCUUCAUGCCCUAGAGCGAAUGCCAGAUCCUUGCCAGAGGCUCUUUUCUGCAAUGCCCAUGAGCACUCCCUGAAAAAGGAAGUUUCCAAACGCAGGCUUCCUCCAUUUUUGGUACCCCCCCAGGCGCAGGCUGUCUCGCAUCAGGCCUUAAUGAGCCCUGACAACCUGGGGCAGGAGGGAGCCAUUUAUAGCUAAACUGUGGUGGCUGCAGGCUGACCAUCAUGAGGCAGCAUUCUUCUCCCUGGCACAGUCCACCGGGAUCUGCACGGAGGCAAAACACCAGACUCUUAGUGUCCUUGGCAACCCCCUUCCAAGCUCUCCGAGCUUGUCUCCUUUCUCUAAAGUGACUGUGCUUCCCACUUUGGUUCCUGCAGUCCUGAAUCUACCCACCCUUUGGGACAGUAGCUACCCGCCAUAUUGUCCACACACUCAGUUGAAAACACAUGCCAGUUUUAUAUCCUAUUUCACACUGUAUCUGUUGUUUCUCUAAAAAUAAUAAUAUCUUUGCAUACUUUAACUCUUUAUUCCAAGAUUUUCAUAUAAAAUCGAGGAAUAGGUAAAAUGUCCCAUUUGCAUUUUGAGUCCUCAUAUCUUCACACACCUCUUCGAGAUAUUUAUGUAAAAUUUCCUGAUUUUUUUUUUUUGAGAUGGAGUUUCCCUCUUGUCGCCCAGGCUGGAGUGCAAUGGCACGAUCUCGGCUCACUGCAACCUCCACCUCCCAGGUUCAUGCAAUUCUCCUGCCUCAGCCUCCCGAGUAGCUGGGAUUACAGGCAUGCACCACCACGCCCAGCUAAUUUUGUAUUUUUAGUAGAGACAGGGUUUCACCAUGUUGGUCAGGCUAGUCUCGAACUCCUGAACUCAGGUAAUCCGCCCUCCUUGGCCUCCCAAAGUGCUGGGAUUACAGGUGUGAGCCACUGCGCCAGGCCAAUUUCCUGAUUUUUAAGUACUGGCAAUGAAUUCGAAUUUUCAAGAUCACUCUGUCCAACAACAACAAAAAACCCGUCUGUGUAGCAGGGGUAGUAUAUGGCCUACUUUGAGAGGCUCACAUAUUAAAAGUGUUAAUAAUCCUUGGCUCUAUAGUCUGGAUCUGGCUUGUAGUUUAGCAGGUUAUUAGCUGAGUAACCUUUGUCAAGUUACUUAAUCUGUGUUCCUUCAUCUGUUAAACGGGCAUAAGAAUCACUACUUUGUAGGGUUGUUGUAAGAAUGAAAGAUGAUCUUUUAAAUGGCUAAGUGUAAAAGUGGCACCUAGUAGACAAUGAAUGGUUGUUAUUCAAGACACAGUUCUUCCAGAGAACUAUCCCUGUUUCAGCCAAAGCUUACUGUCUGCAGUUGUAGCUAGUAUAUCGCAAAGCAAGUGCCUUUGAAUGCUUUAAACCUUGGUUUUGUUAUAUAAGGUUGAGCAUUUUUGUGUCAUUUGUCUUAUUGCUUGUGCUUUGAGGUCAGGGACCACAUGUAAAGACACCUUUGCAUUUCCCAUAGCACAUCAUUGGUGUUCUGUAAAUAUGCCAAGUUAUUUGUUUAUAGUAAUGAUUUUAUGAAUCCAAAGCAGCAUGUUGAAUUAUUGUACAAAGAAAAUAAAUUUAAAAUGGAGAAAUAUUUCAUAAAGCAGGUGGCAGUUGAGUGGGAUCUUUAUAUAGAAGGAAAACAGACAUUUUAAGCACUUGAUUAGGUCCAUGUACUCUUAAUAUUUGGAGACUUUUUUCUAUGCCAGUAAAGUAACUGAAAUCCACCCACAUUCCACAUUAAAUAUCAUUAUAUGUAAGCUAUGUAAGAGUUGAAUUUAGUUGCUCUUGAUUGGUUAACAUAUGUUUAUAGACAUUUAACUGAGCAUUUAUUUCAAAUGUGCAAGGUGCUUUUCCAGUGAAUUUUGUGUUUUGGGCUCACCCAUUUUCAUAGGCUACAGAAAGCUUGGAGGCCCAAGCACCAGAAUUAGGGGACCUGGUGGAUCAAACAACUGGUAAAGGAUUCUAGGCAGAAGGGGCAGUCUGUGAGUCAGGUCAGCUGCCUAGGGUGAAUUCCAGGACAGUGCUUGCGUGGGUGUGCUGUGGCUGUAGGAAGCGUCUGGGAAAUGUAGCAUAUGUGGGAAGAAGGCUGGAGGCUAGAAAAGGAGGAAAUGCCACCUUCUGAGGCACCAGUGGCUCACGAAUAGGGGCAUUUUGUUAGAAGAAACAGAAAGCAUAAAUCCAGCACUUUCAAAUACUAAUCUUUUUCUUCAGCCAUUUCUUGGCCAAGAUAAUUUUUUCCAGUCAGUGCUAUGGAACUGUAUUAGUCUCUUCUCACGCUACUAAUAAAGACAUACCCGAGACUGGGUAAUUUAUAAAGAGGAUUAAUGGACUCACAGUUCCACGUGGCUGGGGAGGCCUCACAGUCAUGGCAGAAGACAAAGGAGGAGCAAAGUCAUGUCUUAAAUGGUGGCAGAGAAGAGAGAGAGCAUGUGCAGGGAAAUUCCCCUUUAUAAAACCAUCAGAUCUCAUGAGACUUUUUCACUAUCACGAGAACAGUAUGGGAAAGACCCACCCUCAUGAUUCAAUUACCUCCCACCAGGUCUGUCCCACAACACAUGGGAAUUAUGGGAACUACAAUUCGAGAUUUGGGUGGGGACACAGCCAACCCAUAUCAGGAACAUAUAUGAGUUUGGACACAGAAGAAACAUUUUCUUCUAGAAUGUGCCAUUCCCCAUGGCCCUGGCAGAAUAACUUGACUUCUCUGGAUGCGCUUCCUCAUCUGUGACAUAUGUGAGUUGGUCCGGGAGACAUCAAAGGCUGCUUUUCUUUAUAACCAACAGGUGUUUCUGCAGUUCUCUCAGAAUUGUUCCAUUGCUGUCACAUGACCAACUAGAGUUCGAUAUUCUUAUAUGUUUAUACUCCACUUUAGAAAACAAAACCAGGCUGGAUGCAGUGGCUCACGCCUGUAAUCCCAACAGUUGGGGAGGCUGAGGCAGGAGAAUUGCUUGAGCUCAGGAGUUCAAGACCAGCCUGGGCAACAUCUGAAGACCCCCAUCUCUACAAAAUUUAAAAAAUUAGUUGGGCAUGGUGGUGUAUGCCUAUGGUCCCAGCUACUCAGAAGACUGAGGCAGGAGGAUCCGUUGAGCCCAGGAAGUCAAGGCUACAGUGAGCUGUGAUUGCAUCACUGUACUUCAGCCUGGGCAACAGAGCAAGACCCUGUCUCAAACAAACAAAACCAAAACCAAAAUACCUCCAUCAUGUUCAAUCUAAUUGGUUCAGGGUUUGGCACACUUUUCCUGAAAGGGUCUUAUAGUAAGUCUAAUAGACUUUGCAGGCCACAGAGCCUGUCUCACUUCUCAGCUCUGUCCAGGCACCCACAGGUAGCAUGUAAACUGAUGGAUAUGGCUGUGUCCAAAAAAGUUUUAUUGAUGGCCAUUGAAAUUUGAAUUUCAUAUAAUAUUGAUGACAUUUUUUUCAAUCAUUAAAAAAUGUAUAGAACCACUGUUACCUCUCAAGCCAUGCGAAACAGGUGGAUUUGGCCCAUGGGCUGAAGAGCCUGUCCCUCCUCUGUAGUCACAGGAUUUCCUCCAAGUUCCUGUUGUAGUCCGAUACACCACUGUGUCUUUUAUGGUGUUGUCCCAUCGUUGGAUUUGUGUUUCUUUCUUCUGAAUGAGCAGGGACUAUGAGACCUUCCUCUACAGCCAGAGUUCCUGGCGUAUCAUAGGUGCUUGCUGAAUGCCUUCCAAAUGAAUGGUGUAGUAAUUAUCCCACUUGCAGGAUGGCUGUGUCUACAUGAAAAAUUUGGAAGUUAUUGUUUCAUUCCUAGAAGGCAACAUCUGUUUGGAGAGAUCCGUGCUGGAAGGUAUUCAGCAGUAUCACGGUGUGUGCGUUGCUGACUUGCCCUCUCAGCAUUUCAAAGGCUGUGAUGCUUGUAAAUAAAUUCUCUUUACCUGACAGCGGCUGCUCUAAGAGUUACUCAGAUGGGAAGCUCUGAGUGCCUGUGAGUGUGAGUGAGCGAAGACUGUCAGAGGAAAGGGGAAAGGGCUUUGGAAAGGAGGAUGGAGAAGAGACAGGUACGACAGCAACGGAAGCCUUUCCUGCUACAGGUGGCCUGUAAAUAUACUGUGUAGCUCUGCAGGAAUUUCUAGAAUGUUCCUUUCCACUGUUGGCAAGCUUUAGUGAGUACAGUGUAUCUGUUGAGUCCAGACUCUCAAGAGACUCAUUUGAAUGAGCCCCUGAAAUACUUAUUUUAUACCUGGUUUAUAAUUUUAAAGCAAGAGCUUUCUUUAUAAUUUCAACCCAGGAAUGAUGUUUGGCAUUCAGGUAGCCUGGUUUGUGCGGGCACAGGCUUGUAUACGUGGAGGGUAUAAUGCCAGGAUGCACAAACAAGAAAUUACAACCAUUUACUUGUGUAUUAUUUUCUCAAUUUGAAGCACUUGAAUUCCAGAGCUCUUAAAUCGAGAGGUUGAAUUCCUGACAUUUUAAAGUAUUCCACUUGAAUAAGCUGUUUAAACCAUUAGAAUGGCUUUAAAAAAAAUUCACCUGUUUCUUGGAUCAUUUGCUCUUGAGAUUUACUUAAUUGAAGUUUUUGCCUUUUCAUUUUACUUCAAAUCAAAAUCAUGUCUAUAACGAAGAAAGUUCUAAUUUUAUUCCUAUGGGUAAAGUCGAUUUCAUACCUCAGACUGUUCUCCACCAGGUGAAAGCAGGCAGUUUUCCACUGCCACACGUAGCACAGCACACGUAGGCAUGCACUUAUCUUUUCUUCCAGAAGAAAUCCUUAAACUCUGACUUUCCCCCGCAGGGCAUCAUUUCUGUAAAUACAGCAGCUUUUACAUUUUCAGGGUCUCUGGCCCAUGUCAGCUCAAAGCUGAAUUUGACUAAAGCCAGUCCCUAGGGAAGAGAGGAGACAGGGAUGGGAAGAGUAUUAAUAAUGAAGUCACAAAAUUAUUCUGCUGGACAUUUUUUAUAAAUCAUUUGCUCCUGUUGGUGGAAAGCGAAAUAAUACUAAGAUGCAAAAGUAUGGAAGGUGGAACUAAAACUGAAAUUAUCAGUUCACAUAUUUGUAAACUGCGUAUUUUUAUCAGUUGCUGGAUUAGGCCCCUAGAGACAGUAGUGGCUAAGUGAUAAAGUCUUUGCCCUUGUGGCAUUUUAUAGUGUAGUGGGAAGACAGAAAACAAACAAGUAGAGAAACAAAUACGUAAUGUGAUCUCAGGUCCAGCUAAGCGCCAGACAGAAGAGAAAAGUAAGGUGAAGGUAGAAGGGUUAGAGCAGGAGGAAGGUGUUAUUUUAGGUCAAGUGGCCAGGGAAGGCGUUUUGAAGAAUUGAUACAGAUUCCAAAAUGAUGAGAAGGUGCAAUUGUGCCACCAUGGACGAGAAGAGCUUUCUAGGCAGAGGGCAGGUGCAAAGAUGGUAGGAACAAACACGGCUUGUUGAAAGAACAGCAAUGUUAGAGGAAUGAGCAAGACAAGCAGUGGUAGGACAGGAAUUGGGAAUGAUUAGCAGAGGCCAGAUUAUUGUAAGUCAUGAAGAAACUGGAUUUUAUUCUAAUUGUGAUGGGAAGCCACUGGAAGGUUUUGAGGAAGGGCAAAACUGAAUCUGGUGUACUUUUUAUAAAGAUGACUCUGCAGGGUGGAGAACAGAGUAGGUUGACAGGGGACAGGGGGUACGCGUGGAAUCCAGUUACAAGGCUAUAAUCAUAACCUAGAUGAGGAUGAUCAUGAUUUGACUGAGACUAUGGUGGUAGCAGUGGUGAGAUAUAGUUGACCGUGCACUGGACCUCUAGUCCAAGGUCUUGUCUUAGAGACUCAAGACCUUGCACUAGACAUUCUUUCCUGUCCCUUUAUCAUAAUUCCGGCCUAUAGUAGAAGCAUAAUGAAUUAUCUAUUUAAUUGAGACUAGAAGUAAGAUUAAGUUUAAAAUCUUCUACUGAUUCUUCCCUGGCCUUUCAUAGCUCUCCCGGGUUCCAGAAAGCUCCACUAGCAACUCAGUUUUAUUGGUCAAAGUUUUCUUAGUCCCCAGGCUUAGGUAUGUAAUAACCUUUGACUGGUUUUAAGCUAGGGAUGGAGAAGAGAGGGAAAAAGGAUAAUUGUCAUAUUUUAUACAGUAAUUAUACUUAAGCUUUGUGUUACACUUUGCAAUUUACAGAAAGUAUUUUAUUUGUAUCACUGUUUUUGCACAGGAGAAUUUUGAGAAAUUAUGAGAUGGAGGGAUGGAUGGACGAAUGGAUGGACGGGUGUUCAGGUGGAUGGACAGACUGACUAUUGGGUGGGUGGAUGGAUGGAUGGAUGGAUGAACAGAGUGACUAUUGGGUGGAUGAAUGUUUGAUGGAAGAAAGAAAGGAAAGAGGGAGAGAAGGGAGGAAGGGAAGUCUCUUUCUCCUCUUCCCCAGAUUGGAGGGAUGAAUUGAGGGAGGGGUUAUUAUUCAUUUAAUUAGAUUUUCUUAGUAAUCCAGAUCUGAACUUUUCUAACCGUCGUGUCAUGCUUUCUCUCUUCUUCAGCCAUAAAGCCGCAUCCGGCUGGGCACGGUGGCUCACGCCUGUAAUCCCAGCACUUUGGGAGGCUGAGGCGGGUGGAUCACAAGGUCAGGAGUUCAAGACCAGCCUGGCCAAGAUGAUGAAACCCCGUCUCGACUAAAAAUACAAAAAAUUAGCCGGGCGUGGUGGUGGGUGCCUGUAAUCCCAGCUACUUGGGAGGCUGGGGCAGAGAAUUGCUUGAACCCAGGAGGCAGAGGUUGCAGUGAGCCGAGACCACACCACUGCACUCCAGCCUGGCGACAGAGUGAGACUCCAUCUCAAAAAAAAAAAAAAAAGCCGCAUCCUGCAAAUAAGAUGUGAAAGGAGGUGUGGGCCCUGGGUGGGGCGGGCACUCGGAUGAGAUUCUCUGCCCACUCUGUAGAAUUACUCUUCACUGUGGCUCUCAGAACUCGGAGCCUGUGAAAACCAUGGUUUCACGGUGAGGGGCCUCUACCCUAGGCUGCAUUUCCUGAUGGCCUUUGACCUUCCCAGGCCUGGAGGAAAUCAUGCCCUGGGAAAAUAUAUGUUUUAACUUAAAGAUGUAACCCAAUUAAAAUGUAAACACCAGUUCUCAGCUUUAGCCCUCUACUGUGAGGGUGAUGUAAUAAGAAAAGCCACUGAUGUUUUGGGGUUGAUGAAAAUGGUAACUUUUAAAGGUAACAUGGGUUUUAUUGAAAUAUAAUUCACAUACCAAACAAUACACCCAUUUAAAGUACAAUUCAGUGGUUUUUUUCGUUUUUUUCGCAGAGUUGUGCAGCCAUCACCACAAGCAGUUUUAGAAUAUUUUCAUCACCCAGUGCGGGGGAAAAACCCUGUACCCUUAAGCCAUCACCCCUUCUCACACCAAAUGAUGACUUAUUAAAUCAAGUUGGCAAGUCAUGGCCUGCAGGAAAGUGAGCUGUGAUUCUCAGCACUCUGAUUAGCAAGUGGCUUUCCAGCAAGUGUCACGGGGCUGCGGGUUGGGGUCUGGGGGAUGCAGGAUGCAGGACUGGGGGCUGAUCUCACUGCUUGGAGUAUCUCAUGGGGCUGCCUCUCCGGCUGCAGGCUGUGUGUCCUCAGGAGUUUGUUUGUUUGUUUGUUGGUUUAACGAGUCACUUAGCACACAUAGAAAAAGCUCCGCUUUUUUGGAGAAAAAGGAAAAAUGUGAAUUUUGAAGUAUUCUUUUAUAUCUCUUUUAUCUGAAAAAAAAAAAAAGCUCCACUUUUUUGGAGAAAAAGGAAAAAUGUGAAUUUUGAAGCAUUCUUUUAUAUCUCUUUUCUCUGAAAAAUUCUUCUUUCUCACUCAACCACUUUUCCAAAUGCUGGUCCUGAUGGAUGGAACAGGCUCCCUUUUUACUUUACUUCAUAAGUGGUUUAUAACCCUGAGGCUGAGAAACUGUAUAAAUGAGGGGGAAAGAAGUAUCCUACAAGAAAUACCCAGUUAAAGAAAGGAAAACUGGAGAAACCAAGUCCCUAUUUCUUUUUUUUCUCCAGUGCCUUUUUGAAGGCACCUAAAGUCCAAGGAAUUUUGAAAUGAGAACUCUACAGUGAAAUGUUGUUUCUCAUUUUCAAACAAAGAAACAUUUCUUACUCUUGGGUGUUUUGUGUGCAGAAACACUUUUUUGAUAUGUCAUAUUUAAAGGUGAGAAUGAUCCACUUGGUCAGUAGAUCCGUGGAGCGUCAGGAAGACGGAAAGAGGAAAGGGCCCCGAAUGACCCACCUGCAUAUCUUUUGCAUAUGUUUCCAAAAAUGCAAGUCUGUUCAUCAUACUCGAUUUUUCCUUUGUUUUUAUUCGCGUUUUAGCAUUCUUUUCCUGCAUAAAAAAAAUGUAUGCAGUCCUGCUGCUGCCUUCAAACUAGCUUUGUGAUUUGAAGCUUCACUUUGCUCAUCUAUAAAAUUCAUUCAGCAGCACCCACUGUGCUGCAUUCUGUAGCACUUUCAUCCACCCAGCAGUAUGUGUCUUUGUUACUUUGCAUCUUCCACCACACCCCUAGAGUGGAAGCUCUGAGGACAGGGACUUUCUUCAUUCAUUGUGCUAUCCCCAGCAUUUCGAACAGUGCUUGGCAUCCGGUAGGUUAUUGGUUAAUAUGAGUUGAAGGAAAUGAACGUACCGGUGCCCAGUGCAAAAAGAAAAUUUGAUGAUUCCUAAGGAGCCCUCUAGCUUGAACAUUUUAUCAUCGUGCUGUAGCCUCUCUCCAGAAACUGGCACUUUUUUGUAUGUAUCUGAAGGGUAACUGGAUUUUCACAUUCCCUGAUCUUAACUUUUGCUAUGUUUCUCUUCUCUGUAAUCUUAAGCAAGUUAAGUAUGGGGAAUCUUCAUUCUUGUAGCUAUAAGACAAGGUAAGUGGUUUUCCUUUCAUCUUGUUUGAAGUGAAAUUCUUAUACUGGUCUUAUCCUGAAGGGCCAAUUUCUUUUUGUAUUUCAGCUUUGAUAUUAGCAUAUGCCCAGAGCCUAUAGGAAAUCAGUCAACAGACCUAGAAAAAGUCUAAUAGCUUUGCCUUUUCAUACUCCUCACACUUUGCAAGGUUUUCAUGACAGUUGGUAGGUGAACUCUGAGCAUAUUUGGCCAGAGGCAGAGUCCUGUGUAUCUUUGCUUACUAACGAUACAAUAGGAGGGCUUGUAGAUGACAUUUGUAGGUAUGGCUUAGAUAGGGGGAAAUAUUUGAAGGUUCCUGCAUUAUUUUGGGAACUUGCCUGGGGUUGCAUUUGUAUUAUAAGGUCAAAUUUAAAGGCAGGGAAGGCUGUUACCAAUAUCAUGUAUGCAUGUCUAAGGAAAUAUUUUGUCUUUUGCAGGAACUUGAUUUCAUUUUGCUUGGUUUUCUCGGGGGUGAUUUCACCUCAGUUCUGUGUAAAGAGGAUUCCCAGAUCUCUAGUGUUAAGACUGAAUGCCUAUCUUGACUAGUUGACUAGGAGUUGGGUUUGGGGGUUGGCUUGUCUGUAACUGUUUCCUGUGCAAAGCCACCUUAGCAUCAGUGCAAUAAGCUUUUCUUGUGGAGCCAGGGCUGAAUAUAGCUUUCUAUUGUUUUCAGUCUCCUGCGAGAUGGAGCUUAGGGGAGCCCUUAUGUGAACUGAUGCAUCCCGGAGAGAGCGCUCAUGUGGUUUCGUUGGCGGGCGCAAUGCAGACGCAGCUAUGUUUAGAUUCUUCCCUCUCAGUUACCAGGUGCCCAUUCAUACCACUCCCUCACUUCCGCAGGUCGUGGAAAAUGGUGAAAAUAGGAUUGUUGAGGUAAUUUUUUGAAGCACUGUUAUUGUGGCUGACAUUGAUCAUUUGCUACUUCAAUUGUAUUCCAUGAUGUCAAAUUUACUGUAUUUACCUGUAGCAGAAGGAAGAUAAACCCUCUCAGAAAAUGAAAGGGCAGCAUUAUUGUGUGUUCAUGAAGUCAUACUGUGGCCUCAUUGGCUAUCAUUGCAGUCAUCGAGGAUACAUUCUUUAUAAAAUAACACAAUAAGGCUGAUGUGUGGAGGUCACGGGUUGUCACAACUGUAUCUAGGUUAAAAAAUGUUGCUAUCCACCCAGCCCUCCUUAAAAGAGGCUAUUUAUAAUACAAUGCGGGUGUUUGUGCUACUUGCAUCGGGCAGGCGCAUCCUGAAUGAAGAAUUAGCUCUUUAAAAAGAGCAUUAAAAAUAAAACUCAUGUUGUAAAGAUCUGACAGCCAAAAGAGAUUGCGGGCUGUUGUAAAUGCUUGCUUAUUUCCCAAGGUUGCUGAGAUACUUGCUCUGGGUCAUGAAAUAUUUUGAUCUGGCAUGUAGGCUUUGCUUUUUAAAAACAAAUUUAAAUAUUCUAGAUAUGAAUAUACCUACCUACUUCCUAACAAUCACUUGGCGGGCCCUUUGGGGAUAGGCGCCCCCACCACCCUCCUGGGAGGGAGGGUCUGUCUUCUCUCCUCCCUGCGUCGGCCACACUGCUGCCUCUUAUUCCACCAGGCUCUGGCUUCCUGCAUUGGCCGUUCUACUUCCGUCUCCCAUCAGGGCAGGACUCGGGGAAGAAACUUGGGCAUACAGAAUGUGUAAAUUACAGCUAAGGUGUAAAGCUGCUAAGAAAAAAUAAGCACCCCGAUUAAUGGACUGUGUCACCGUCAGGUGAAUAUUCUAAGUGAUUUUUAAAAAUAGCUCUUUCGCGAGAGUGUUUUGGUUUGGGGUGUGUAUUCUUGGAUUGUUUUUAUUAUUUUUCUGCAUAGCCUUGAUAGGAAAAUGUAGAACUCUCUUAUCAUAAUACAUGCAGUAUUUAGAUUGGAUACACUUCUUGCUCCCCUUGCAUUGAUUUCCUGCAUUUCUCCUUUGCCUUUUCCCGGUACUUAAGCAUCAAGUCGUGGGCAUUUUCCCAGUGUAAUUGUUGAUUAAGUGCUGCAUAUCCCGCGAUGAUUAUGAGAAGAUUACUGUAUUCAGCUUUUAAUCUUGUGAGUGUCAAAUAUUUUACUUUAAUGGUAUCAUUAUUAUUAUUAUUCGUAGCUCUUUCUGUUUGAGUAAUGCAAUCAGGCAAAAUAAAGGUAAUGCCACAAAUUCAGCAUUUUUAUAAUAAUUCUUUGUCUCAGAAUGGAAAGUGCCACCUUCAGGCCAUUCUCAAAUACUGAUGGAGAUCUAUACAGAUGGGAAUCAGAAUAUUUUAGGCUUCUUUUGGUUGCAAGUAACAGAAAGCAACAAGCUUAGGAAGAAAUGCAUAUAUACAUGAGGGCGGGGAAUCUAUUGGAGGAAGUACUGUGGGUCUCUCAGGACCCCAAGGCCAAGCAUGUAUAAUAGCUGGUGGUCAUCAAGACUGGAACCUGGAAGGCUGUCAGGAACGCGGUCACCACUCGUACCUUCUCUCUGUCACUUUCUGUGUUCUCUGUUUUCUCUAAUGCUGCGUGCAGGAUGAUCAGUGGUCACCUCGUGGCAUUCAAGCCAAAUAUCCCCCGUGGAAGAGAAUAGCUCAGGUGGCCUGGCUGUCUUUCAGUUCCAGUGCCCACUUCCCAGGAACAACAGAAAUUCUGUGAAUGGAGUCACUGAAAUCAUGUGACCCACCUGGUCCUGACGCCUUGUCCAGGGGAGCAGCAGCAUGGACAAAAAACGUGGUAGCCAGGGGCUUUCUCCAUGGGUGGGGAGAGGCAGAGCUCCUAAGGGAAGAGGCCCCCCAUCGCGAGUGGGAUAGACACCCCAAACAGAGCCCCGUUUUCUGUUUUCUUGAGAGAGACAGAGACUCCGGAUUCUUAUCUAGCCUCCAGUGGCAACUUCUCAUGCUUCUCCAGGGUUCCACAUGCUGUAUCCCAGAGCAUUGACACUGAGGGCAAGAGCGUGGGAUUCUGAAGAGAAUCCCAAAAAACUAUUUAUAAUCAACUGUCUGUUGCCUAGUGGGAGAAAAGGAAUCAUUGGUAUGAACAACUCCAGUUACUGUUUCCACAGAACCAGCAGGCUUUCUGGUUCUUUCCUGAGGCACUCCACUUUACACAGGAGGAAACUGAGGUUGGAAGGUAAGUGUAUCACCUGAUGUCACACAGCCAGAAAGGAGGAAGCUGGGUCACUGAUGCUGGCGGACCCCAAAAUGCAGAACCCACGUGUGUCUGUCUCAUUUAGCCACCAUGGUGGCUUUGGGUUGGAUUUUCACAAGCUCACGGUGGCCACCUCAUGAGCAUGCACAGAGAGCAGUAGAUAGCUAAUGGGGAAGUGGCUGAGUAGAAGUUGGCCUGAAAUGGAAAAUUUGCUGGGAAUAAUUUACAGACCAAGUAAUAUUUGUGAACAUUCACGGGAACUUAAGCUUGGCAUGAGCUAUCUAUACAGAAAUCUAAAAUCAGUCUAAACAUUUGGGUUGGACUUGGAGCCAUAGGCCAUCGAAGAGCAAUGCCGUUGUGUCACUUUGGGUAGGGAGUGUCUGGCUCAGUCACUACACGUCACUCAGAGGAUGCCAUUGUCAGUGGUAUGGGGGGUAGCACUAAUUGGAAAAAUGGAGGCUUAUCAGAGUCACUGCUAACUAAUAAAAUCACUGGGAAGUGGGUGCAGUUUUUCCAAGAGUGAUUAUUGUGGGUGGCAAGUAUUGAGUGAGGCGCAGAGGGAAUAAAAUCAAACUGUCUAUACACGUGCUGCUGCAGUGGAAAGAACACUGGGCUGGGAGUCCUGGGAGCCAGGCCAAGCCCUUCCCCUGGGCCAUUCGUGGGACCCCAGCCCUACCCCUGGGCCAUUCGUGGGACCCCAGCCCUGCCCCUGGCCAUUUGUGGGACCCCAGCCCUGUCCCUGGGCCAUUCGUGGGACCCAGCCCUGCCCCUGGCCAUUCGUGGGACCCCAGCCCUGCCCCUGGCCAUUUGUGGGACCCCAGCCCUGCCCCUGGCCAUUUGUGGGACCCCAGGCAGGUUACUGCUCCUCUCAGGCCCUUUCUUCUUUUCUUUUUAGUAUGUUGUUUAAAAAAAUAGUAAUAAAAAGCAUUAUACCAAAAGAUAUAUAGUGAAAAGUAAGGCAUUCUCUUGUCAGGGAAGUACAGCUUUCUAACCUCCUCCCCAGAGGUAACCACCAUGACCAGUUUCCUCUGUAUCAUUUGACAGCUGAUGCCUUUACACAGCCCUGAAUGUGUGUGCGUGUUUACACAGAUGGGCACAGGCCAUGUGCAUUAUCCUGACUUUUUUUUUUAUCACGUAGAUUUCUCUGUAUCAGUGCAUACAGAUUUAUUCAUCCUUGUUAUUGGUUUCAGAGUAUUUCACUGUAUGGUGGUACCAGAUGUAUUCAAGCCACCCCUGGUAGUGGGCAUUAUACAAACAGUGUUGCAGUGAAUACUCCUACAUGUAUCUUUGCACACAUGUCUUCACCAUUGGUUAAAAGUGGGGCCGGGCGCGGUGGCUCACGCUUGUAAUCCCAGCACUUUGGGAGGCCGAGGCAGGCGGAUCACGAGGUCAGGAGAUCGAGACCACGGUGAAACCCCGUCUCUACUAAAAAUACAAAAAAAAAAUUAGCCGGGCGUGGUGGCAGGCGCCUGUAGUCCCAGCUACUCGGAGAGGCUGAGGCAGGAGAAUGGCGUGAACCCGGGAGGCGGAGCUUGCAGUGAGCCGAGAUCGCGCCACUGCACUCCAGCCUGGGUGACAGAGCGAGACUCCGUCUCAAAAAAAAAAAAAAAAAAAAAAAAGUGAUAUUCUGUUGUUAUUUAUUUCCUUAACUGGAAAGGAAGGCCAUUUGUGUUUCUUUUUCUGUGUAUUUUCUGUUCAUGCCCUAUGCUCAUUUUUUUCCCCUAUUGAAUUGCUUUUUCUUAUUAUGUCAUAUUUUCCAAAGAGAUAAUGAUCCAAGUGCUGGUCAGUUCUGGGGAAAGUGAUCUGAUAAGACGUUUGCUGAGAACCAUCGUGUGUCCAUCGAGAAGUCUGGGUACCCAGUAAAAGGCCCUUCUCCAUGUUUUUGAGGUGUGGCCAUGGCAAGUUUUCAGCAAGGCUCAUUCUGUACUUAUCCUUUUGAUACUUAGUAAAGGGAUGUGUCUGCUCUACACAGAGUGGAGCUUUGACCAGUCACUGCCGGAUGAACAAGAGGGAGAGCAUGGCCUUGUGGGACAAGAUUGUCUUUGCAACCACUGGUCUUCCAGACAUAAACUUGGAUGCAGACCCUCUUGGCUCCAGAAUUUACAUGUCAUGUGACCUUCUCUGGGUCUCAGUAUCCUCAUUUAGAAAAUAGGAUCAUAAGACUGGUGUUGCAAGGUGGUUGUGAGCAAUAGAAGAACCAUAUAUUUAAAGUAGCUAGCACAUGAUUGGUUUUCAAUAAUUGGUAGCUUCUAAUAUUAGUAUCAUUGUUAUUAUCAUUGCUAUUAUUACUAUCAUUACCAUAAAUAAAACGAUUGACAGUAUAGGCAUGGGCUAAGACUGAACAAUUGGUUAAUGCAGCAACCAUGUUAUAUUGGACUUUGACUUCAGGAACCUGCUCCAGAGGAUGCAAUUUGGUGUGCAGGCCAUCUGCAUCUUUGCAAUAAAAGCUUCUUUGCACCUAUGUCUAUUUCAUUUGCCUUGUGACUCUAUAAUUUUCUUUCAGGCCUUGCACCUCUGUUGCUAGACAUAGUACAUAAAUCCCAUGCAGUUUCCUGGCCUUGAAAAGGGAGAGUGACUUGAAAGUACUCUACUUGAAUUCUAAAUGGGAAAGAUGUAAAAACUACUCCUCCCCCCUCCAAGAAAUCUGAGAGACAGAAAAUAGAUCUUUCUCUCUGGAUCUCUUAAACCCCGCUUACAAAAUUAACAAAGGAAGAUGGAUGGCUGAAAUAAGACUUCCAAAGAAGAGAUGGGAACCUCCUAAUUGAUUCCCACAGAACUGCUGGUUAUUUACAACUAGGAAAAUUGCCUGCUUGGAGAUACCAAUUCAGCUCUUGUGGUUCCGCCGACUUGACAGGAAACAGUCUCUGCUCCUUGCUGAAAAAGCUCUGAGGGAAGAGGGGGGCGGAGUGAAUUACAUCUAACUGUUUAACACUAUCUCAUUCAUAGAUUUCUGCCUUUUCCCCCCGGUUGAUCAUUCGCAGUCUCCUUUUUAGUAUAUAAUUGUUCAUUUUAAAUGUUCAUAUGUGCUAUAGCUGGGUGAAUGUUAAUUACUGGCAGUCUGCAAUUAUGUUGUCUGUUUGUCAUUUCCGUGGUGGCAAGUGUGGUAAGCUAGAAUUCUUCCAAUAGCAAGAAUUGUAAUUUAUAAUCUAUCCCCAAAACCAUUUAGAAAUGGAUACAUUUCACUCACACUGUUGAUGUAGUUGAGUAAAUGCAUUGUUAUUGAUAUUCACUAUGAGGUUUUAAGUGCAAAAUUCCCGCUGUACACUAACUGAAAGGCACCCAGUAUUUUGGCUAAUUCGUUAAACUCAAAACCACUUUUUGAGCAUCCAAUAUGUACUAGGUGCGUAGGACAUAUCUCUAAAUGAACUAGAUAAAAAAUAAAAUAUUCUGCAGUUCUCUGUGUAACUACAGGGACUUCCCAAGUGACCCUUUAAGCCACUGUGUGGCUAGUGGCAUUGAGUGUGUGUCCCGUAGGGUGCUGAACUCCUCCAUUACCAGCACUGUAGUUGUGAGGAAUAUGGUAAGAAGUUAGAAGCCAGUGGCAAGUGAAGUUCUUAUUUUACAUUUAAGUCCCCCUCUAUGAUAAUGGCAGCUGAGACAGACUUGGGAAACAUAAUUUGAAGAUCAGAUUCGUUCCAGACAUCCCUGGAAUCUGUGUGCAAAUUAAAUUGGGGUACAUCAGAUUGAUCCAGUCAAGAAACAGAGUGGGAUUGGAAGGCAUGUUUGUGCUGUAGAGACCAGGUAAACACAGUCACCGUUGAUGUUGCCUGAAGCCGCAGUGCCUCAAGGGGAGGUUCCAGCAACCUAGACCACAACUCACCUGCGGGGAUUGCCAGUGUCGGGCUCCGUUCUGGUGCUGUGAGUAUACAAGGAUGGGAAUUUGGAAAGGACGCAGAGUAGAGCUGAAGACUAAAGGUUCCUGCUUUAAAGGUAGAGGGUGCUGAAGAGCAACUCCUUAGACGAGAUCGGAUUUAAGAGAACUUAGGUAGUUGGAAAUACACUGACUUAAAAGGCUCGAGGAAGAUUGCUGACUUCCCCAUAUUCAUUCAACAACUUUUUUUGUGCCCAUAGUAUGCUAGAAUGUGAACUAAGACAUCUCUGCCAUCGUACAGCACACAGUUCUAUGGGAGAAGCAAGACACAGUGUGGACCGAUAGAUAGAUGUGAUGUCAUAUAAUAUAAUGCAAUGUAGUAUCAUACAGCUAUGAGUGCUACAAAGAAUUAUGCAGCAGAGUAAAGAUGAAGCAUGGCUGAGGUACUACUUUAUUAAUCCUUUCUAGUACUUUACUGUACUUCUCAAUGUGAGAAGAAAAAUUGAGGGGGAGGGGUGGUCACUUUUUGUUUUCCGGUUAAGCCUUUUACUUUGAGAUGAUCCUAGAUUCACAUGUAAGAAAUGAUACAGACAGAGCCUGUGUACCCAUUAUGCAGUUUCUCCGAGCGGUAACAUCUUGCAAAACAGUAGUGCAAUAUCACAACCAGCUUGUUGACAUUGAUAUAGUCAAGAUAUAGAACAUUUCUAUCAUUUACGAUGAUAAAUGCUUAGGAAUACAAUCACUAGUUCAUAAGUUAGUUGCAUGUUUAGUUUUUAACAAACCGCUAAACUAUUUUCCAGAGUAUCUGUACCAUUUUACAUUCUCAUGAGCGGUGGGUGAGUGAUCCCGUUUCUCUGCAUCCUUGCCGGCAUUUGGUGUUGUCACUAUUUUUUCAUAGCCAUUCUGAAGGUAUUUAAUGGUAUCUCAUUGUGGUUUUAAUAUGAAUUUCCCAAAUGGAUAAUAAUGUUGAAGGUAUCUCCAUGUGCAUAUUUGCCAUCUGUAAAUCUUCUUCGGCAAAAUGUCUAUUUAUGUCUUUUGCUCACUUUCUAGUUGGAUAUUUGUUUUUUUUUUUUUCCCUGAAAUGGUGACAGCUUUGUAUAUAUUCAGUAUUGCCCUGCCACAUGCUCUCAGUUGCCGAUUUUGGUUGUUUGCCAAAUGAUCAUGUGUCAGAGGGGGGCCUGAAACUUAGGUCAAGGGGGAAUUUGUCUUCUGUUAUAUGUAGACAGAUGGUGGUGACUGAUGGAAGAGAGAGGUUCUUAGAAGACCAAUGAGAAUCUCUUUCUGGGCUAAAAGAGCUGAUAACUGGUGGGGUACAUGUGGCUGGAAUUUCUCCAGGUCAGCUCCUGGCAUCAGGAUGCAAUGCUUGGUGGGCAGAAGAUGGAAUUCAUCAAAGGGUAGAACUUCUUAAAGGCUUGGGACUCAGGCCUCCAGGUCAGAAAACUAGAGGCUUUAAGUGUCCCCACAGCUAGAGCAUUUUUAAUCUUUGGGGAGAGGGCAUUAGGCCUCCCUAUCAGGACAAUGAAAGGCUCAGCUUCUAAUUAGCAUGUGCAAAUUGGGAACAAAUGAGCAGAAACCCCCUUCUUCUAGCUUACUGUUAGCUCCCAUAGCCCCUUGCCAAGAUGCUGGCCCUCUCUAAAGUCCAGAGUCCUCAGUGGUAGAGGAGGUGCUGGCUGCAUGCUACUUUCUUUUUAUUUUUUUUGAGACAGAAUCUCACUCUGUUGCCCAGGCUGGAGUGCAGUGGCGUGAUCUCGGCUCACUGCAAGCUCUGCCUCCCGGGUUCACACCAUUCUCCUGCCUCAGCCUCCCGAGUAGCUGGGACUACAGGCACUUGCCUCCACACCCGGCUAAUAUUUUGUAUUUUUAGUAGAGACGGGUUUCACUGUGUUAGCCAGGAUGGUCUUGAUCUCCUGACCUCAUGAUCUGCCCGCCUUGGCCUCCCAAAGUGCUGGGAUUACAGGCAUGAGCCACCGUGCCCGGCCUGCAUGCUACUCUUAAAGGCUCCUUCUGGCUUCCAGUCACUCUUGUGACUCUGACCAGACUUUUGAUAGGAUGGGCCUCUAGGGAGAUGUGCUUCUCCUUAGCUGAGAGCCAGGGGCCUAGUGACUACAUCCAAGAAAGGAAUGCCUUUUUCAUAGAGCAAAUCUUGCUUGACUUGGAGCCAUAGACCCAGCCACGAGCACCAGCUCUGCCACUCCUUAGUUGUGUGACCUCAGGCCAAACACUCCUUAACCCGCCUGGGCUUCAGUUUCUCCAUCUGCUGCUAUAACAAAUCACCCCAAACCUAGUGGCUUCAAACAACACAAAUUUACAAUCUUACAGUUCUGGAGAUCAGAACUCCAAAAUUGGUCUUGGGGGGCUAAAGUCAAGGCAUCAGCAGGCCUGCAUCCCAUCUGCAGGCUCUAGAAGAGAAGCCGCUUUCUUUCCUAUCGCAGCUUCUAGAGGCUGCCUGCAUUCCUUGGCUUGUGGCCCCAUCCUCCAUCUUCACAGACAACUGCAGCGGGUCAGGUUCUCACAUGAAAUCACUCUGACCUCCCUCUUUCACUUGUGAGGACCUUUGUGAUUACACUGGGCCCACUUGGAUUAUCUAAUCCAGGAUAAUGUCCCCAUCUUAAUUCGAGCUGCAACCUUAAUUCCCCCGUGCCAUGAAAUCUAACAGUCAACAUGUGCUGGAGAUCAGGAUGUGGACAUCCUUUGGAGAAGACGUGCUUCCUGCCACGAUUGCCAAGACCCCACCAAUGAAGCAUUUCACAGUUCCAAAGACCUGCUGGGCGUUCAAGUGUCGUCCUCUUUGUUGGAAACCUCCAGGGUCACAACAGCUGAUGGUUUCCAAGAGCUGCUGGUGCUGAUUGGGGUCGGCAUAAGCCCCUCACACAGGCACACUCCUGUUCUUUACUUUGUGUGGUUAGCUUAUCUUCUGGGCUUUCUUUUGAUUUCAAAGCAACAUGGCAUGGGGAAGGAGGUCACAAAGAGACAGUAAGGGAAUCAGUAAGCCACAAGAUUCUAACAGCCCCUGGUUCCAAAGGGCCCUCUCCAUGGUGACGUUUUCAAAACAUCAGGCAUUACUCUCCAUUCUGCUCUUCUCUUCCUGCAGGUUUACUUUAGCACAUACUUACAGUCACCUAUGGGCUUAAGGAUUGAAUAAGAAAUAGCCCACACUCUCAGGGGGCAGUUGCCAGAGAGUGGGCAGAAGUGACCAUAGUUCAAGGCAUAAAGUUACGAGUAUCAUCAGGGAACAGACAAAAGCCAGGAAAGGUCAGAGGCAGGUAACUUCAUUUCUUGCUGCAGGAAUUAGGGAGGUUGCAAGACGGGGGCAAAUUUGAGCUGGCACUCACAGAGUGAGUAAGACUUCAACAGCUGGGGACGGGGCAGCCCUGCUGGCGACGAGGACUCGGUGGACCAAGACAGGAAAACAUUAGCAUGUUCAGGGCAAGCACAACGCAGGGGUGUGUAGGGCUCGACUAGGGAGAGAACUCCACUUUGCUUACCAGCUCAUGCCUGCCCAACCCUUGAAAAAUAAAGAUCUUCUCCUUUACUCAUGGUGGACGGUGAAGCAGGAGUAUAGUGUUGCAUGGCAAAAGCAGGGGAGGGGGGGAGGGAGGGAGGGAGGGAGGGAGAGAGAGAGGAUGCCACAUACUUUUAAACAACCAGAUAUCAUGAGAAUUCACUUACUAUCACAAGGACAGCACCAAGGGGAUGGUGUUCAACCGUUUAUGAGGGAUCUGCCCCCUCAUGAUUAAUUCAGUCACCUCCCACCAGGCCCCACCUCCAACACUGGGGUUUCAAUUCAACAUGAGAUUUGGAUGGAGAUGGAGAUUCAAACCCUAUCAACAGCAGAGGCAGAGAGUAGAGUGAUGCAGCCACAAGCCAAGGAACACCAAGGCUUGAGAGGAGGCAGGAAAGGAGUCUCCUCUGCAGGCUUCCAAGCAAGUGUGGUGGCCCUGCCAAUGCCUUGAUUUUGGACUUCUAGCCUCCAGAACUAUGGCUAUUAAAGUUCUGUUGUUUUGAAGAACUCAGUUUGUGGCACUUUGUUGCAGUGGCCCUAGGAACUAAUACACGUAGUUUGUACCCCUGUGCUGGGGGAAUUUGGCUGGGUUCUCCUUAGUCUUUCAGAGCAGUUUAGAUGUGCCUGUUGAAGUCAACCAAUGACUAUUAGGUGGUCUUUGGGGAGAAUCUGAUGAUCUGAGGGGCACUGUGGCUUUCUGACCUGUAUGUAGGUUGAGGUCUCUGGGAUCUACAUGAGGGACAGAGUGACCUGGUGAGGGAAGGAUGGAGUGAACAGGCACAGGCUCUUUCUGAUUCCUUCAGGGACUACCUGUACAGCCAGUUGUGACAUGGUUCCCUUUAGAAAAUGGGGACCUAGACUGGCGUCAUGAGGUUUAGGCCAAGGGCUUUGAGUUCAUUUACUUCAACUCCUCCUCUUGACAGAUGAUAAACUAUCCCAGAGAGUAUCUUGGGACGUACCCGAGGUCACUAUGCUAGUAGCAGAAUCAGAACUUGAACUUGGAUCUUGAAUCUCACAUCCAGAUCACUGAGAUUUCUAGAGACUCCAAAUUCUGUGGUUCUCACUUCUGAAAAUUUUCUUGGGCACAGAAUUUUAAGUUAAACCAUUAGACUAUGUUUACUGGGAGUGGAGGGGGAUGACAGAGAUUAUAAAAAAGAAAAAGAAAAAAGGGGAACAUGUUGACCUUCAGGAAAGAGAUUUGAAAGAAUGAUCAAGUUUAUAUGACUUAAAAAAUUCAUAGAUACUUAGUUUUACUAUGUGUCACUGAAAAACAAUUUUCUACCCAGUGGAUGGGAAAUUCCAGCUCCUAGCUUCUUCAUUCAUGGACUCAUUACACCUAGGUAUUACAGAGUAUAGAAUUUACAAAAUCAGCAGCCAUUAUGUGACCUCAGACACCACCAAGUUACCACUUUUUGCCUUUUUCUGACUUUUCCGUCCUCCCUCCGCAGGUUGAAGUAGUGCAACUAAUGUUAUUUCAGUUAGAUUUCAGCUUUCCAGGCUUGCUUUAAAUCACAAGAGCGGGAUGCCGGGUAGGUUCAUUAUGGUCGCAGCACUGCAUAUACAGCAUCUUGGUAGCUUUAAAUCAAUAUCUCUCCUAAGGGUUCAGAAGAAAUGUCACAUACAAGGUACAUUGCUUGCACAAGUGUCCUUUGUGUCAGAUGCCCUCGAAUGUAAUUUCUAUCAGUAAGACAUAAAGGACACAUGGAGAGGGAUCAUUUUGCUUGGCAGCACAGGCUGAAAGGAAGGAGGGGAGGUGGUUAUUUUUUGUUGUUACUAUGACUGUUUCUUGGGUUCCUCCAACAAAGAAAUGCUGUGUGGCUUUCAAGUAUCUCUCAGUGCAAAUGCUUCCUGUCACAAGUGAUCAGUGUCCUGCCAUUUUGAAAUGGCAGAAGUGGCUUUAGCAGCAUUAUGAAAUUAUCAUUGCCGUGCUGGAUAGCUGAGACCAGCCUCUCAGAGAAAUUGACGCUCUCGCCAGCUUUCCUCGAAUUAUGUCUCGUAAGGCUGGCGCGCUGUCACUUUAACAAACUAUCACCCUGAAAUGGGGUUGCUCCAUCCAGGGCUGUGGAAAAACAAGGUUAGAAGAGCAGAGGACUUGUCGAUGGUGAGUAAGUGGGAUUAGUUAAACCAAUAUUGAAAAAUGGUUUGCACAACUCUGGGCUGCUCAUGUUCCCUCUGAAAACAUGUGCUCUUUCAGCCCGCAUAGGCACAGAGACAGUUAAAGCUGCAUCAGGACCUUUGUUAUAUAAUCUUUCCCGGUUAUGUAAUUAAGGGUCCUGUUUUUUCUUGCCCUGGUUUACAUCGAUUGAAAUGUGGAUAGAAGAUCGCAACAGUUCAUAGUCUCCUGUAAUAGCCGAGGCAGUAAUUUCAUUGAUUAAAGCACUCAGGGUCUAUUGGUCAUCAGUAACACUAUCUGCAGAAUGAACUAUGUAUAUGCGAACAGUUUGUGUUUGUAGAAUAUUAAAUAAGUUUCAGACACAUAUAUCCUGCUACAGAUGAGCAGUUUGAAAGAACUGGCCUUUGGAGUCUGACUUAUAGGAACCUUCUGGGUUCUGCCCAGGUUACUAGCAGGUCAGAAUCUUGGGGCAGGCCUAGAUGUGGAAAAGUCCAAUAAAGCAGUGAGUUCUACGUCCGCCAUGAGGCAGCUCCUGUGGCUUUUUCCAGUCUUGGCCCAGUUUCAGUUAGGAAACGUGACACCCUGAAGGCAGAUAGUAUUCUUGGGGCUUAGCUCCAUGCCUUCCCACAACACUGAGCUUACCUGUCCCUGAAGCAGUGGCUGCUGGCACCAUUGGGGCCCCUCCCACCUCUUGCAAAUGUCAUCUCAGUAGCCAUAAUUUGCUGCCCUGCCGUGCUCCCAGCCAAUCGCUUUGAGCAGACCUAGAGAUUAAUUGCCCCCGUGUUCCCCGCCCCCACCUGCUUCCAUCUGCUCGGUCUUGGAAGGAUUGAACCAUGGGCACAUCUGCCUUGUGCCCCACCACAGAGGCACCACAAGGUAGGCAGGUCUGAUUUGGAGCACAGUAUCGCAUGGGGCAGCUGUACCAUUGCGUCCCUUCCUUUUUCUCCAGAUGCGAAGGUUCUGUGUCUGUCCCUCAGGGCCCUGGCUGAGACCUUCUGAAUAGCUGCUGGUGCCCACAUCCUGCUGUAACAGAAAUCCAGGCAACAGAACCACACACCUCUGUCAUACCACCUGGCAGAUCAGAUCAUAUCCCUGCUCUGCCCUUCCCUCCACAGUGGACCGAGACCCAUGCAUUCUUUUUCAGUUUCAGCCACCCUCCUCCCUCUUGGGUCCCCUGGCUUGUUAGCUUCCGGCAACCCUCUCCUCUCCUGAGGCCGAGCCUGCCCUUGACUCCCAGAAUGCUGUGUGGCCAACAGGCCAACUAGUGUCUCUCUUGGCCAAACAGGAAUUGUUUGUUGCAAAUAUUUCCUACAAAGCAAGUUCUAACAUCAUAUGGGAUGUGGGUAAUUUUGAUUUUCUUCUUUAUACUCUUACUGUUUUUGCUCAAGUUUUCCAUGGCGAACAGAUACGUUUUUUGUUGUUGUUGUUUUGUUUUGUUUUUCCAUUAGAAAGAAAAGAGUAUAUUUUAAAAGAGCAGUUUGGGAUAAGGAAAAUAAAAACACAUCAUCUUUUAUGUUCAGUAGAACAACAACAAAAUCACCCCAGGUAAGUCAAUGCAAAAAAAUUAGGCAGGCAUGCCUCUCCUCAUCAAGUAAUAAAUGGCCUGUCACAGGUGAGAUGGGUGGGAUGUUAUCAUUAUCAUCAACCUCAAGUCCUGAUGUUCCCGCAGAGCUAGUGGCUAUGUGCUACUCCAGUAAACGCCAUGGGGAUUUAUCACAGGGUUGCUUCAAGGCUCAAAUGAGAAAAUAGAAGAAGUACUUUAUAAAUGAAAGCUAUUUUUUCAACAAAAAAAAUGAAAACCUUCAUCUCCAUUGAGAAACAAGGCUGAACACUGUAAGGAGGGUUGCAGAAUUUAACCUAAAGCAGAUGUGACCUCUGCUAUCUAAGAAUGUAUGUUUAUCUAUUUAUUUAAUAAAGAGUGUGUGGCGCC